UAUUUGUAGCUAAUCAUAUACGGCAUGUUAAGGAUUGGGUACAGGAUUUGGAUCAUUCAUCUAUUUGGCAUAUAUACAGUGGAUAGGUUUUUUUUUUACAGUAGCGGUAUCCCAGUAUUCAUUGUUAUUACUUGCUUCUAUUGCUACUAUAGGUUUACAUUCCAUUUCAUAUAUAUCUCAUUAUAUAUAUCUCCACUAUUUUCUUUUUCGGUGAAUAUGGCUUGCCUUCGUGGCUUUGUCAUAUCUACUAGAAAAUCUCACAUUUUCGCACCCCACUAUUUUCCACAGGUGACACGGGUGAGGAGGUAAGUUAGGGCGCAGCGUGAGGUUCCUAGUUUGCUAGUUUGCACUAAUGGUCCCUUAUACUUUGCAACUUCCAUUAUGGUUUACUUGUCUUGCCUUAUUACUUUUAUUGCUUAGUUAUUAGAUCCCAUGGUGGUUCAAUUAGACUGGUGAUGCUUAAAUGGUUUUAUGGCAUAUGAAUAUGUAUGGUUUUAGGAUAUGGUAUCGACUUUGGUUUUUGAAUGGUUUUUGAUUAAUAUGGCUUUGGUAUGGUUUGGUUUUUGAUAUGGCAACAGUUUUGUCUUUAUGGUUAUUGGCUUUGGUUUCUCGAUUUUUAUGUGGCAAAAAGAUUUUCUACCCUUCGUGGUAGUUGGUUUUCAAAAGGUAAGAUUUUCGUAUGGAAAAAAGUUUUCAAAACAGCUUUCAUGUUAGUUUUCAUCUUUAUUGAAUAUUAGAUUUUCAAAAUAAAAUUUGCGAAUAGGAAACACUUUCAAAGGAUAGAUGUGAUUGAAUGAAUGUAAAUUCACAUCAUCUUCGGUAAGGACCUUGUAGUAAUAGGGCAUGCAUUAUGUUCAUAAGGGCCGGUUAGCUUAUUGUGCAUAUGCAUUAUGUUUUUAUGUAUGCGGGUUAGUGUACGUGAAAAUUAUAGGUUGUGUAGUGUUGUAGUUGGCUAGCACGUUGUGUAGAUGUAGAAAAGACUCUGUUCGCGUGGACAGAGAAAACUCUAUAUUUGUGGUGGAUCUGUGCACUCCGUGUGCAAGACAAGUUAAAAAAUAGAAUUUUUUACAAACUUUGGUUUUCAAACGGCACCUUUAAUAUAAAAGGUUGUAGAAAAAGGGCUCCGGGGCGUGACAGAUUAAGAUGGAACCAUAGCGGCAACAACCAUUAUUUCACUCACAAGCAUCUAACUAAACCGCAAGCUAGGCUGACCAUUGGAAGACCUAAGGCUUAUAGGGAUGUGACAACGCAGGGUGGUUGGGAUUAAGUCUCUAUUGUUUUGGUGAAGUCUUAUUAGUCUUGAGGUAUAUGGUUAUUUUAUUACUCUAUAUUUGUGCUAUGGUUAUGGCUCGGACUCGUGCUUCUGCCAAGGAGUGGUGGCGGAUUAUCAGGUAGGUAUCAAGUGGCAAGGUGAUAUUCACCAUAUAUACUGCUCAUUGAUCAGGUGGUGGCCAUAAUAGGCCAAGUUACGGCACUUGCUGGGCCUAUAGAGUUGAUUCAGCUGCUACUUUGCAGUCCCCAUUUCUUGCUUAGGGCAUAAGAGCUACUAUGGACACCUUCACAGAGAUAGCAAAACGGAGUGGCAAUGACCACGGCUACUAUAGUCGCUGCUAGGGUGUAACCCGAGGUUAUGGUAGCAACCACUUAGCCGGCUGCGAGGAUGGUUGCUGCUGGUGCUACAUAGGUGGCUGUGGGUGUCGCUCCUUUAGACAUCGUGGGUACGGUUGUGACACCUACUCCUCCUAGUUUCAUUGGUGGCACAGAUUCAUAGAUGAUGGAGCUAACCCAAACAAAGGUGAAUGUGGCUAGUUUAAGAAAUAUAACUCACAAGAGUUCAUAGGCGAGACUCACGACCCAUAGAUUAGGAGGCAUAGGUCGAUAUAAUGGAAGGCUCGUGAAAAAGUCUAAGGUAGGGUGAUUGGUCAGUACUGGAGUACAAGUGGGGGUUCACCCGGUUCGUUAGUCAUGUUCCGUUUGUGUUGCUGAAUGGGUAGCGCAAGGCUUGGCUUUUAGUGGGAUGUGUUUCGAAACAUUUUCCCUCAUUGAGAUCAACAACAUUGGUGUAUCUACCUUCUGCUGGCUCAUACGUCAAUUUGGCAUGCAUUAGAACUUGUUGAGCACAAUAUUGGUGUCAGGUCUCAGUUGGUGCGCACUUCAUGUGCCGCCAUUCCAACACCUAAAGUGGUGUGUUUUGGGAUGGUGGAUGGUCUAUGUAGACCUAUGGCAUAUCACGAGAUACUCCAUGGGGUUAGUUGGAGGUCUUGGCACGUUAGGUGAUGGUUAGGUGAGAUUCGAAAAUUGGUUAAAGAAAUUGUGCUCCGAUUGCACUUGUUCAAUCGGUUGUUGCUGGGAGCCAAAGGACUCUUUUGGAGUUGGCUCAAAGGUUGGCCUAGUUUGGAAAGUCGUUUUACAAAGCCAAAGUUUCGACUAUGUUAUGGUGAACUUUUGUGCGGCAUAGGUGACAAGUAGGAUGCCAACAAGGAACCGUGAGAACAUGAAUAAAGGAAUUUCGAGAAUCCUAAACAACCCACUGCCAAGGUGUGUGAAAAGCCACCUAAUGCCACUUGAUGCCUAUGUGCCAACCGUCGGGGGUGUGUAGAAUGCCGCCUAAUACCACAGAGAUAGGUGGGAUGAUUGGACUCGCUCCUAACAAUUCCCAUGAUCGGGGGUGUGCGGCAUGCCACCUAAUAUCUAGGAGUGGAGUGACUUCAUAAGUUGAGGACAUGUGGCCGGCGGUGGGCGACAAUCUCACCGCCUAAUGCCAUGAGAAUGGCGGUGAUGCUCUUUAUUGACUCAAGAUUGAGUCGGGUGACAUAUGAUAGGGUAAUGAAAUGGUAAGUAGAACGGUAAUAGACUUACAUGUGGCAUUUCAUUAUCAUGGAUAGAUGUAUAAGCAUGUUAUUUCCUAUAUGUUUAUGUAUAUUGAGCUAACCUAUACUUAUGUGUUUCAUUUGGACUUGGUGGAUCGAGUUUCUAGCUUAGGUGGCCGUACCCAUUGGAAAUUAUGUUUAUAGUUCUCAACCCUAUGUUUUUCAGGUCCAUCCACAGGUGGCGGCGGAGCGAGGAAAGGGCAUAGAGGAAUAGAUUGCAUCCUCCUCUUUUGUUUUGAGUUUUCUUAGUUGGACCCUAUUUAGGAGAUAUGUAGAAAAUGGAAACAUAUGAAUGUAAUAUUCUUUUUGGGUUGUAAAUUUUUGGUGCUAAAAUGAUGUAUGUAAUAGAAUGUUUCAAGUUGUAAUAGAAUAGUUUACUUCAUGCCUUGUGAUACUCUCUUUAUGCUACCCUUGUAUUUAAUUCCUGCUUGGAAUACGUGAAGUAUACAUAUUUGUGACGCCUUUGGCGAGUAGAGGAAACUCUGUCCAUUCGGCGGGUCUGGUGCACAUGCUUGAAUUUCGCUUCCACUGUGGGCGUGGGGCAUGACAGGCUAAGGUGGUAUCAGAGCGUAGAAAUGGUCUAGGUGAACCUUGGAGACCAUAGAAUAGAAACCUUAAGGACCUAGGCUCGUGAGUGAUGAGGAUCUAUGAAUUGUAGUGAAAGUUGAAUUAAUUAAGUCAAGUUAUGUAUGUCUCUAAUAGGAUGUUGGAGGUGGAUUCGAUGUGUGUUUUAUUCUCAGCCGAGGGUGUUCAUAUUGGCAAUUGACAAUAUGAAACCAAGUGAGAGGAAUAAGCACCCUUGUGUAACUUUCACCUAAAUUGGGUUCGCUUUUGAAUUUUAUCUUGCGUUUGACUUUGAUGGUCAUGUUAUUGACCAAGGUUGUUGUGUUUCAUAAAAUGAUGACGCGCGGUAGACCUCCGACAAGGGCUAGACCCGAGGAGUCGAGCAGAGCCCCCGAGCAAUUCGGAGCGGGCGGGGACAUAGAACUCCGUGGGCAAUUGACCGCACUCAUGGGGAUAGUGCAGCAACAAGCCGAGAUCGUGCAGCGCCAAGAGGAGUAGAUUAGGAGUCUCCAAGAUAUCAUGGUGCAGCAAGUGGUUACAGCCUGAGCGGGCUAUAAGCAACAUGCACCCCCGACCGCAGUGUCGAAUAUAGCAAAAGAGGUGGCCGCGGCGACAGUACCGGUAGCGACACGUCCUACACCAUCAGUGGUCCUGACCGAUUUGGGCAUUGCGGUCCCCAACCAUGCGGCGAUAGAGGCGGAGAGGGAUAGAGAGGGAAAAAGUGCACUUUGCAGUGCAUUAUUUUCAGAAGUCGGCGAAGGUGUGGUGAAAAAAGGUCAAGCGGGGCCAGAUUUCUAGCCUCCAUCCUGUAACUUAGGAGAAAUUUUGGAGAUUGAUAUUCACUACCUCUUUUUCUGACAGCAAGAAGAAGAAGCUUCAUGAUUGGUUUCGGAAGUUGUGGCAAGGGAACAACCGGUGAGAGAGUAUGAGUGCGAAUUCUCCCACAUUAGUAACUGAGUCCUGUAUGUGGUUUGGGACGACAAGUAUAAGGCAGACUACUUCGUGUGCAGACUGUGGCCAAAGAUUUUCAAAGUCGUGCACUCUCUCAAGCUGCAGACCUUUGCUAAGGUUCUAAAUUGGGCCAUGUGGGUGGAGCAGGAUAAUGCUUUCGUACGAGAGGAGCGCGAGUCCUUUGAGAAAGAGAAGGACAAAGGGAAGAAGCAACCGUUGGGUGGCUCGGGUUGUUAAUCUAGUUCUAAGCGAUCACCAAGGCACUUGCACUCGCAAUCCUGAGCACAGGGACCCCAGCCCACCCGGUCCAUGCCGAGGUGCAACAUCUGUAGUGGUACUCAUCAGACGCAGGUGUGUGAGCAGUAGGAGGGGAGGUCCUAUAGGUAUGGGCAGCUAGGUCAUAUGCGGUUCGAGUGCCCACAGGGUAACGGCCAGGCUCCAUCGGUGGCGUCGACACGCUCCUCACCGAGAUGGCUAGUGGGCAUCCCACCGGCGGUGAUGCCUGUGGGGUGUGCGCCGCCGGCAAGACAACUUAAGGGGUCACGGCAGGCACCAAGCGGCCGUGUUUUUGCGACUCAGGUGGAGGAUCCUACUAUUUCAGAGGACAUCGUGCCAGGUAUUAUUUUAAUUAACAGCAUAAGAUACAAAGCAUUAUUUGACACAAAAACAUUGUAUUCAUUCAUUAGUUGGUUGUUUGCACUACUCGUGGAAUAGACAUAGUAUACACCAAGCAAUUUAGAUAGGUAUAACUGCUCGAGCAUGCAUUUAGUGUUAGGAGUAUAUGUCGUGCCUGCCCUGUCACAGUAGGGGAUUGGAUCAUGCCAACAAACUUGUUAGUCUUGAAUCGGAUGGUCGAGUUUAACCUAGUAUUAGGAAUGGAUUGGCUCGCCAGGUACUAAGCUACCAUUGAUUGUGAGAGUCGUUUGGUGACCUUUAGGGAGCUGGGUCACGAGGAGCUUGUGUACUGCGGGUGUAAGAGCUCACUCUAUGCCACUAUGGUAUCCAUGUCAUAAGCGAGAAACCUUAUUGCUAAUGCCUGUGUUGCUUUUCUAGCGACGGUAGUGGAUGACCGGAAGGAGAGUCCGGCACUCAAUGAGCUUUCAAUAGUCCGAGAGUUUCUGAAUGUAUUUCCGACGGAGUUGCCCGAAAUGCCACCAGACUAGGAGAUUGAAUUUGCAACAGAUCUUGACAGCAGCAAAUGGCUUAAAAUUGGCUAUUUUAAAGGUUUGAGGCAAAAAGGGUUCUCCAUUCCAGAAAGAGUAGUGGCACAAACUCCACAGCGAUGACAAGUCAAGUCAGAAUGAGAAGAAGGACUGAAGAGGUAUGGUACUCUAAUAGAAGUUGAAAGAGAGCUAUAAACCAGACGAUUUCCUGACAAGCAUCAUCGGAGAAUAGUCUGCUAUUGAAAGAUGAAUCCUCCUCUAAGGUGAGACUGUCUUCUGUAGUCGGUAUUUCCACUAUUGGCUUUCAAGUCAAGUGCAAGAGUGGAUGUGGGCUCCUAUUUGGUCUUGUUUCCUUUGUGAUACACUUUUCAUCGAAAUAGUUUUACCAAUUUCAAAAAAUUGGACUUUUCAAACUUGUUCUGAAUUUGAACCCUUCAAUUUAGAAUUUAUAUAUAGUGAGGAUAUACUUACAAAGUUGGUCUAACUUAUUGUAAGGACUGAGAUUUUUUGACAGUGCAACUAAACUCUCUGUUGAUGAUGUUUAUGUGUGUAAUUUAAUUACAUAAGCACUCGUCAAGUUUCCAAAUUAGGUUCCGGGCAGAACAAACUAUGUCGAGCCAAGAGCAUCUUCAUUACUAUAGAAGACGGCGGAUGUCAAAAUCCACAGCCGAUCAUGUCCUUCAAGUCGCACGUUGCUUUCUACCACAUCGUUUCAAACGAAGUUUUACCAUAACAUUCCUCUAAUUGAAAUUUCAAAGCGGUAUGGAAUUGAUUCAAUAUAAAAUCAUGAAUAGUCAUUGGUUCAACCGGUAUAUAAUAGUCCAUACUUUCUAUCUACGGUACGGAUAAAUAAGUAUUUAUCCGGAUAAGGGUCAGCAAGGAUCGAAUUUAUUUAAUUUAACCCCAUAUUCUAUCAUAUGAAUGAAAAUAUUUAUUUAUAUUUAUAAAUAAGACGAAUAAACGAGUUUGCUUAAGACUUAUUAUUUACAUCUUCAACAGAUUGUUCGAGACGAUCAAUCAUGAAGGAUCCAGUUUUCUCGAACAAAUAAACUAUAAACCUCCAAAAGAGGUUUCUAUAGUAGAAUACUAAUGAUUUCCAAUCCCGAAAUCAAAUCAAUUAGUAACCAAAAAAGCUAUUCCAAUGACCCGAAAAAGUCGAAAUUUUGAUAAUAUAGAUUUCUCAUACUUCUUCCAGUACCAAUUCCGGUACCAAUCAAAAAAAAAUGAAGUAAAAANUACAGGUGGGUACUUCGAUCCGAAGUCGGUACAGUGGUGCACGCUCGGUGAUAUUUCUUCUAUCUCUGUUCUCUGGUUGCUAUUAUCGUAUUGUCUAUUGAGCUGGCAUCCCAGUUGAUUUUAUUAUACUCUACUCGUAUGUUUCUAUGCUUAGUAUCAUGUGUAGGAGUAGAGUAGUUUAUCCAUAUGUGAUUCCAGUGACCUGAUUGGUCGGUUCUCCUACCUCGUUCGGUGACCUGAUUGGUCGGUUCUCGCACCUUGUUUCGGUGACCUAAUUGGUCGGUUAUCGUACUUCACAUUUGUAACCUGGUUGGUCGGUUUUGGCUUAGCACUGUGACCCUUUUCGGUCGAUUCAUUGACUCCGUCGUUUGAUGUCCUAUGAGGUCGGUGUACCCUGAGGGGUAGGAUUGUCGGCUGGUGCUGACGGUAGUUCCGGACUAUAUCGAAUACACUCCUGUGACCUAUCGGUCGGUUCUUGCGUUCGUACUUUUAGUUGACAUCGAGCAGUAUCUACAUACUAUCUUUGUUUACUCUGCCUGGUUGUUCUAUGUGUACUAUCCUGUAUAGGGGUAGAGUAGAUGGCAUUCGUAUAUACUAUACUUGUGACCUGGUUGGUCGGUUCUCCUAUUUGCAUCGGUAACCUGUUCGGUCGUUCGUUACUUUCCGUACAUUGACCUAUCUCGGUCGGUUCACGCUGUUACUUGAUGACCUACACGGUCGGUAUGCCCAGAGGGGCAGUGAUUGUCGGCUGAUUGCCGANNNNNNNNNNNNNNNNNNNNNNNNNNNNNNNNNNNNNNNNNNNNNNNNNNNNNNNNNNNNNNNNNNNNNNNNNNNNNNNNNNNNNNNNNNNNNNNNNNNNGUUGGACAUGUUGUGGAUUACUUUUAGUAUUUGCUAUUGUGCACUUUGAGCGUGUUGUUCGAUCGCACGUUGUGGAUUUUCAGUACACCAGGGUUUUGAUCACGCAAUGGAGUGCAUUUUUCAGAAGUGGUCAUUUCCAUCAACUGAGCUACGGGGUGCUGUUAGGAUAUGUGGGUGGCGAGUAAGACAUGGAAUAACUGAGCUCUUUUAGGCAUUAUGGCAGUCGAUUAGUUUAUUUAUUACUUAUUGAGUCUGUUGAAAACUUGUGGUUGUUGUCAUUACAUUUAGCGAUUUCUUAUGCAUAAUUCUGUAGCCUGUGUAAUUCUUUAAGUGAUUAUGUACUUAUGUGAUAAUAUUCUUAUAGUUGUAUCUCAGUAUUCUUUCUUUAUCUUUCAGUAGAGGUUGUCUUAAUUUAUUGUUAGUCUUAUCCGUUUAGUUUCAUUGCUACUAUAUAUUGAUAAAUGUUAUUAUAGUUGAAUUUUUUACAUUCCUGCUACUUAGUUCGUUUUCAAUUUCUGUUGGCUACUCGCUUGUAGUAUUCGAUUGAUUGAGUUCGUUCAUUACAACCGUGAUUAUUAUGAGUUAAGAUGGUGGUUUAGUAGGUUGUAAUUGAGUUUAUUGAUAGUUAUGUGGAUUGAUCGCAUUUGGUUUUAUCUUUCUAUUAGAUGUUAGAUUUCUUCUCCUGAUACCUAGCCUGUUUUGUGUUUUUGAUGUAGGUGAGUUUGUGUGAUUGGUAUUGUAUUCGAUGCUACGUUGUGUAUGUACGAGGUGACUCUAUCUGUUUGAUUUAGGAGAUCUUUGUCAGUGUGGCAGAAGUGUUAGACCUUGUGUUGCUACUGGCGCACCUAAUUGUUUGUGUUUUGGUAGCAGGUGAUUUUUAGACUUAUUUAGUACUUUCGGGGCAUUUCAUGAGUUUCAGUAUCUGGGGCGAUUUCCGGGAAUGCAGCAUAUGUUUAUAAAUCGGUAAAAGGAAAUGACUUUAUUUAUUUUUUUCGGAGAGUGUGUGAUUGUUGACUAGGAAUCCUUAGUGUUUGUCUUGCUUGUGCAGAUCUUUCGUAGCGUUCGUGAUCAAGGCAAGAGACUUGGGUGUUUGGUGUCUUCUAAUUCAGGUGGUGCUCGAUCCGAACGGGUAUUAUGGUGCUAAGCUCGAUGACAUUUUUUUUUCUUCUACUCCUUUUCUUGUUUACACAGCAUUUACAUGUUGAAACUUCACCACUAUGACUUACUUUUUGUUAUUCUACUUUUACUCGUAUUUGUUUUCAUUAUUUAGUUAGUAGAGCGGUAUCUUGUUGCCAUGAAUAACUUUUAGUAUUUGUACUCUGGAUCGGUCUAGUGAUUAGUGAUAUCUUGGAUGAGAUAAUUAAUGAUUUUCUUUGGUCAGGUGAUUAUUAGUUAGAUUUGAUCUUUUGGUUUUUCCAGUGGUUGGCUUUUAGCUAUUGCAUCAAUCGCACAACUCAUGAAGAUGUCACCUAAAACCAGGGUCUUGACCCCACAAUUGAUAUUUUUUCUGAACGAGGUGGUCAUUUGACACUACCCUAUGCGUUGCUGUGUUCUAGCUAGGGAUUAGGCCGAUGGCUGAGUAAUUUCUUGGCUAUUGUUUGAGGUUUAUACCGUAUGGGUUUGAUGGUAUUCUAGUUAUUCGUCCAGUUGGAUGAUUUACUUUUGCAUUACAGAAAACUAACGGAUAGUAGUAUAAUAUUCAUUUUCUUUUUGAUUUAUCAAUUUACACUGUCAUAUAAUAUUCUUAUUGGUUUAUUUUCUUUUCAUUUGCCAGUGGGCACACUCUGCCGCGUCGGCUUAAUGGUUGUUGCACUCAAGAUUAGGAAUAUGCUAUCUAUAAGAUAUUAGGAAUAAACUCUAACGUUACUAUAAAAUACUUGGGCGGUGGCGUAGGCAAGAAUUUAAGCGAGUUAAGAUGAUAGGCUAGGGUAAGUUUAGGAUGGGUCCACUAUGGAAAGUAGUUGUUAAUUUGGUAUUAGGCAAUCACAACGAAAGUAUGAUGAUAGUUCGCCUAGCAGAGGUUUGGAGCUAGGCUAAGCCAGAGUCUGAAGUGACAGGCUAUACCAGAGUCUGAAUGACAAGGCUAGCGAUAUAAGUCUCACAACGCCUGAUGAUCUUGGACUGUGUGUGUGAUUCGGCUGAUAAGGACAUCAGGGUCUAAAUAGGGGGAGACUGUGACACCCCAAUAAUCCCACGUUGGAUGGAAAUGGAGUUGUUAUUUGCUAUAUAAGAGGCCAUGAACACUAGUAAUAAUAACUGGGUUUAAGUAUUUUUGGCUGAUGGUUUGGGCUUGAUAAGUUAUUAUUGCUAGUGGGUUGAAUCGUUACAGCGGUAUGCACUGAGAAAUCUCAUGUUGGUUUCUCACCUUCUAUUUUUAUAGGUGACACGAGAGGUAAGGUUCGGGACAAUGCGUGAGGAGCGUUAUAGCUAGUGAGUUUUAGAGGUCCCAUACAUAUUUGUCGAUUGACUCUAGUUAUCCUAUUCUUUAUCCUUAUUUGUUCUUUGAAGAAAUAUACUUUGUUCUGAUUCAGUUAAGCGAUUACUUGUUAAGUUGAAUGCUUGCUUGGUUGAUAAAACUUUGGUUUUAUGGCGUUAUGACCAUUGUGUGGUUUGUGGAUUUAUGAGAAAAAAAUUUCUAACUUUCGUGGUAGUCAGUUUUUAAAAGAAUGAGUUUUCGUGUAGAAAAUAGUUUUUUGUAGUAUUCCUGGUGUUUGGUUACCCGUGAGAUUUCAGCAUCUAAGGUUUGUCGACACAUCUGGAGAGUGUCGGGACAAGUCGGAGUCGUUUUGGCGCUAAAUGGUUGCAAAACAGACUCAGUGCGACGUGAGAGCAGUGUAUUGACAGUGAAAUCUGCAAAGUACAGAUUUUCAGUGCUGAGUACCGGUACCACGCAGGGGAGUACCGUUACCCCAGUCUAUUUUCAGAAUAGUCUGCUCUCGGGUUGCGCCAAUUUGGUGCUGAGUACCGGUAUAGCAUUGGGCUGGUACCGAUACCCGGUGUGCGAGUGUGCGUGCUGAGAGACCGAGUACCAGUAACCAAAUCUGGUGCCGGUACUCCAGCUAGGAUCACUACAACAAAAACGAUCUAUAGCGACACUUUUAAAUGUCGGUACAAGUCAAAAAAAAUGCUGCUGGGUAAAUUACCGACACUUUUAAAAAGUGUUGCUGUAUGUGGGCUCGCUAGGUAUAUAGUAACAGUUAAAGAGUAUCGCUAUAACCUAAAAGGAGUGCUGCUAAUUUACUAACACUUAUUUAAACAUUUAGCAACCGCCGGAACUCUACCUCGUUGGCUGCGGUGGCGGAGGCGAAGGAGAGGGAAGGGCUCUUCGUCUAGAAUUUCAUUGGAUUGAGUGAGGGGAGAAAGAGAGAUGGUAAUCGAUUUUUUUUUUCCUUUUCUUUUCUGUUUGUAAUCGGGCUGAAUGGCCUUUGUGGGGUGGGUUGAGUAGAGUAACCAUUUUAUUUUUGGUUGGAUUGGGCUUUAUAUUUAGGUAUUAAUAGAUUUUUUAAAAAAUUUUGGCAUAAAUGGGACACUUACACAAAAGUGUCCCAAACAUGUGUCGCUAUAACCUAAUUCUGUUGUAGUGGAUUUUGAGUAGGUGAGGGGCCUUUUGGUCAUUUGACGCAUCGUUUAUAUCACCCUUAUCCCCACUGCUUCUUAUACGUGUAGAGAGGCAGGGAGUGAGCCUCUGGUUGCUACUUCCUCUCUCUCUCUAGGUUGGAGUCGUGUGCAUGGUGGAGGCCACGGCUUGAGCUCGGAUCGAUAUCGACGUUACGCCCGAGAGCCGUUCGAGCGUGUAGGCGUCGCGGUUGUACCGUUGGAGGCCGGGCGAGCGCGUCAUUCCUCUCCUUUCGACUUCUCGCCGUAGUUGGAUUGGCAUUUCGAGGUGGGUUGAAGUUUACCGAAAUUGUCGAAAUAUCUUCUAAGUGUUAGCAUCGUCGACAUGUAUCAAUUGUGUAUUUUCUUGCAAGUACUCAAUUCAUGGAUUAGUGUUUAAAUCUGAAUUUUGAGUUAAGCUAGUUGUAUUAUUGUACAUGUUGGACUUGGAAUUGACUUAGGAGAAAACUGUUAGAUUCUACACUGUCACUUUCUAAAAAUUACCAAAUUUAGCUUUAGGAGCUGUGGUUUGUUUGUAUCGCCGCAGUUUGUAUGCGGUGGAUAUUCAGAAUAGUGUAGAAUGAAUUUACGCUCGUGCUGGGAUGCCGAAUUUAUUUUUAUAGUAGUGUGUAGACUGUUUCGGACUGUCGGGUACUGUCGCGGUUGAUGGUGGACCCAGAUUUCUGUAUUUGCAUCAGAUUGUGCCAAGGGCACGUGAGUUUUGGUUGUUAGACCAGUUAGACCUAUUUGCUUUGAUUAUAAUCUGUGAGAGCCUGAUUGAGCUCUGCAGAGACACGCUUGCAUACUCGGUUGGGUCGCGCCCACGAGUGCCGUUCCGGAGUCUGGCUUUGUGCUUUCGCGUUGAUGUCGCUGAUUAGUUGCUCUCCACCAACAACCCAGCGUGGUGGUGGUUAGAGUAGCUUCGACAGGCGGGACGGGUGCGUUCACAGUCCCUAGUGAGAUUUGGUCAGAAAUUGCAUCUUGCUUACAUCUACAGAUAGCUAGUGGUAGUUUUUUUUUUUUGAGAAAUAGAUAGCACGCUACCCGCUUCGUUUAUUUCAUUUAAAAAUAAACUUAGCUUAAUAAGCGAAUCAACUAAGAUUCGAACUUGGGUCUCGGGUACCAACCACCAAGCCCUUUGCCACUUGAUUUAGGAACGGUCAGUAUAGCUAGUGGUAGUUAGCGAUAGUAUAGUGGCAUAUAGCUAUAGAGUUUUAUCGGCUUACUUUACUAUCUUUCUGCAUACUUUCUGUAGACUUAGUGGGUGAGCCGUUAAGGUCGAUAGCGGUACCUACUGAGAACUACUUCUUUUUGCAGUAGUUCUCAUACCUUGUUGUUGACCCCUUUUUGCAGAGCCUUCUUCUGCGGCUGUUGUUGUCACCGAUUCUGAUCGAGAAAAGGGAGUCGCGAGCUAGAUCCCUUCGCUGGUUAUAAUGCUAGAGGAGUACCUCCCACAGGUAGUUUUGGGGUUUUUAUGUACAUAUGGUUGUUAUCUGAAUACUCGCUGGAGCGAGUGNAGGAUUAGGAUGAUAUUAGUCGGUUAGAGUUGAGUGGUCCCCCUAGGGUUGAGUGGUCCCCCAUUGGGUUAUAGUAUUUAAUCCAAUGGCUAGAAAUAAUGAAAAGAGUUGAUCCAAACGCUAAAAAACUGGUAGGAACAACGGAAUUUUGCUAUUAAUAGUAGCCCAGUCCAACUCUAUAUAUAUAUAUAUAUAUAUAUAGUAUGUCUCCUAUGCUUUCGAAAGUAUGAAGGCUUUCGUACUUCUAAGUUGUUUUUGAUGAUGGAGUAUCCGAUUCGGCGAUCGGCUCCGUUAGGCAUGAUCUAUGCUAUUAGAAAUAUUUAGAAACCAAAUUUCAUAAUUUUUCGACAUCAUUUACUAAGCGAUUAAAGAGUCUCAAAAAUGAUUAUUUUAACGGCCGAUGUGGCACGUUUGAAAGUUCAACGGUGUAGAAGAAUCCAAAUUAUAUGAAACUUUAAUAGAAAAUUUUAGUUAACAUCAAGAGUAAGAAUAAUUCUUCAGAUUUGAAAUUUGAGUCUUUUAUCACUAUUUUUUGUGAGAUUUUUAUUUUCAGCCGUUCAUUUUGAUCCUACUCGUUCACUAGGCAAAUGAAGUCAAAAAAUUAUAAAAUUUGGUUUCUAAAUAGUUCCAAUAGCAUAGAUCAUGUCUAACGGAGCUGAUCGCCAAAUCAUAUGCUCCAUCAUUGAAAACAACUUACAAGCACGGAGGCUUCCGUACUUUCGAAAGUAUAGGAGCCUAGCUCUCUCUCUGUCUCUCUCUCUCUCUCUCUCUAUAUGUAUAUAUAUAUAUAUAUAUAUAUAUACGUAUAUAUAUAUAUAUAUACUAUAUAUAUAUAUAUUUAUAUAUACGACGUAUACUAUAUAUUUAUUAUACCGGUAUAGUAUAUAUUAUAUAUACCUAUAUAGUAUAUAGUAUAUUACGAUUAUGACUAUAUAGUAUAUAGCUAUAUAUAUACUAAUAUAUUAUAGCGUGACGUAUACACCUCAAUAUAUAUAUAUAUAAUAUAGCUUUAUAAUAUGACGUACUAUAUACGUAAGGUUACGUAUAUAGUAUAUUACUAGUUAAUAUAGUAUAUAUAUAUAUAUAUAUAUAUUAGUAGUAUUAUAUAUUAUAUAUAAAUUAGCUAUUAUACUAUCUAUAGUACCGGGAGCCUCCGGUACUAUAGUAUUGGUUUUCGGAUCUUAGAGCAUUCAAAAUCAAGCGAUCCCACACCGUUAAAUAUGAUCUAGGGUAUAUGAAGUUCUUAGGAAUAAAAUUUUAGUUCUUUUCGAUAUCGUUUACUUAGUAAAUAAAUUAUGUCAAAAUGGACGGUGGAAAUUGAAUACUCUUUAAAAUUUGAGCAUAGGACUUUUAAAUUCAAGAUCAAUAAUGUUAACCUUAAUCUAUAUAGUUUAAAGUAUUUUCUAUCAAAAUUUGAAGAAAUUUAGAUUCUUCUACACCGUUAAACUCCAAACUCGUCAUAAUAGCCAUUGAAAAUUGACAAUUUUGAAAUGGUUUGAUCAUAAAGUAAACUAUGUCGAAAAAAUAUAAAAUUUUAUUUCUAAAAACUUUAAAUAUCCUACAUCAGUUUUAACGGUGUGGAUCGUUGAUUUGAACGCCCGAAGAUCGAAAACAACACUAUAGUACCGGAGCUCCGGUACUAUAGAUAGUAUAGUAGCCUAGCUCAUAUAUAUAUAUACAUAUAUAUAUAGAAAUAUAAAAUUAUGCUUCUAUACUAUCGAUAAUACCAAGCGGUUGGUGCUAUCGAGUUUUUGGUCAUUGGAUGAAAGGAUGUGCUGUUAGGAUGAUAGUGGUCCCCUAGGAUUGAGUGGGCGGUUGGUUGAAAAGUAUAAUCUAAGGGGUGGAAAUGAUCAAAAUGUAGAUCUAAUGGCAAAAAACUCGAUAGUACCAUGAGCUUGGUACUAUCAAUAGUAUAGUAGCCGAACUCUCUCUCCCUCCCCCUCUCUCUCUCUCUCUCUAUAUAUAUAAAUAUAUAUAGUGUAGUGUUACUAUGCUUUCGAAGGCAUAAGUAAGUUGAUGCUUCCGACUUUUUAUCCUUUGGAUCAAGGAUUGUAGAGUUGGGAUAAUAGCGGUACCCCCUAGGGUUGAGUAGUCCCCAUAGAGUCGUGCCCCUAAGGUAAUAAUGUUAAUCCAAAGGUUAGAAAUGGUCAAAGGGGUUGAUCUAAGGGUAAAAAAGUUUGAUGCACGAAUUCCCUAAUACUUCCAAAAGCAUGUAGCGCGACUCUCUCUCUCCCUCUCUCUCUACAAGGACGUCAGGGUCUAAAUAGGGGGAGUCUGUGACACCACAAUAGUCCCACGUUGGAUGGAAAUGGAGUAGUAAUUUGCUAUAUAAGGGGCCAUGAACACUAGUAAUAAUAACUAGGUUUAAGUAUUUUGGGCCGGUGGUUUGGGCCUGAUAAGUUAUUAUUGCUAGUGGGUUGAAUCGUUACAGUGGUAUCCACUGAGAAAUCUCAUGUUGGUUUCUCACCUUCUAUUUUUAUAGGUGACACAAGCGGUAAGGUUCGGGACAAUGCGUGAGGAGCGUUAUAGCUAGUGAGUUUUAGAGGUCCCAUACAUAUUCGUCGAUUGACUCUAGUUAUCCUAUUCUUUAUCCUUAUUUGUUCUUUGAAUAAAUACACUUUGUUAUGAUUCAGUUAAGAGAUUGCUUGUUAAGUUGAAUACUUGCUUGGUUGAUAAAACUUUGGUUUUAUGGCGUUAUGACCAUUGUGUGGUUUGUGGAUUUGUGAGAAAAAAUUUUCUAACCCUCGUGGUAGACAGUUUUUAAAAGAUUGAGUUUUCGUGUAGAAAAUAGUUUUUUGUAGCAUUCUUGGUGUUUGGUUGCCGUGAGAUUUCAGCAUCUAAGGCUUGUCGACACAUCUGGAGAGUGUCGGGACAAGUCGGAAUUGUUUUGGCGCGAAAUGGACGCAAAACGGACUCAGUGCGACGCGAGAGCAGUGUAUUAACAUUGAAAUCUGCAAAGUGCAGAUUUUCAGUGCUGAGUACCGGUACCACGCAGGGGAGUACCGUUACCCCAGUCUAUUUUCAGAACAGUCUGCUCUCAGGUUGCGCCAAUUUGGUGCUGAGUACCGGUAUAGCAUCGGGCUGGUACCGAUACCCGGUGUGCGAGAAUGUGGGCUGAGAGGCCGAGUACCGAUAACCAAAUCUGGUUCCGAUACUCCAGCUGGGAUUUUGAGUAGGUAAGGGGCCUUUUGGUCAUUUGAUGCAUCAUUUAUAUCACCCUUAUCCCCACUGCUUCUUAUACGUGUAGAGAGGCAGGGAGUGAGCCUCUGGUUGCUACUUCCUCUCUCUCUUUAGGUUGGAGUCAUGUGCAUGGUGGAGGCCACGGCUUGAGCUCGGAAGUCAACGUUACGCCCGAGAGCCGUUCGAGCGUGUAGGCGUCGCGGUUGUGCCGUUUGAGGCCGGGCGAGCGCGUGAUUCCUCUCCUUUCGACUUCUCGCCGUAGUUGAAUUGGCGUUUCGAGGUGGGUUGAAGUUUACCGAAAUCGUCGGACUAUCUUCUAAGUGUUAGCAUCAUCGACAUGUAUCAAUUGUGUAUUUUCUUGCUAGUACUCGAAUUUAUGGAUUAGUGUUUAAAUUUGAAUUUUGAGUUAAGCUAGUUGUAUUUAUACAUGUUGGACUUGGAAUUGACUUAGGAGAAAACUGUUAGAUUCUACACUGCCACUUUCUGAAAAUUACCAGAUUUAGAUUUAGAAGUUGUGGUUUGUUUGUAUCGCCGCAGUUUGUAUGCGAUUGAUAUUCAGAAUAGUGUAGAAUGAAUUUAUGCUCGUGCUGGGAUGCCUAGUUUAUUUUUACAGUAGUGUGUAGACUGUUUCGGACUGUCGGAUACUGUCGCGAUUGACGGUGGACCCAGAUUUCUGUAUUUGCAUCAGAUUGUGCCAAGGGCACGUGAGUUUUGGUUGUUAGACCAGUUAGACCCAUUUGCUUUGAUUAUAACUUGUAAGAGCCUGAUUGAGCUCGGCAGAGACACGCUUGCAAAUUUGGUUGGGUAGCGCCCACGAGUGCCACACCGGAGUCGGGUUUAGUACUUUUGCGUUGAUGUCGUAGUGUCCUGGUUGGACUUGCUCUCCACCAACAAUCCAGCAUGGUGGUGGUUGGUGUAACUUCGACAGGCGAAACGGGUGCGUUCACAGUCCCUAGUGAGAUUGGGUCAGAGAUUGCAUCUUGCUUACAUCUACAGAUAGCUAGUGUUAGUUAGCGAUAGUAUAGUGGUAUAUAUCUGUAGAGUUUUACCAGCUUCCUUUACUAUCUUUCUGCAUAUUUUCUGUAGACUUAUUGGGUCAGCCGUUGAGGUCGAUAGUGGUACCCACUGAGAACUACUUCUUUUUGCAGUAGUUCUCAUACCCUAUUGUUGACCCCUUUUUGCAGAGCUUUCUUCUGCGGCUGCUGUUGUCGCCGAUUCUGAUCGAGGAAAGGGAGUCGCGAGCUAGAUCCCUUCCCUGAUUACAAUGCCAGAGGAGUACCUCCCACAGGUAGUUUUGGAGUUUUAUGUAUAUAUAGUUGUUGUCUGGAUACUCGCUGGAGCGAGUGGUGUAGUAGACAUUUUGUAUGUACUGGAACUCUCGAGGUUUAUAUAUAUAUAUACGUAUAUGUUUUUAGUUUAACAGCUCAUUACCUUGUGGUUGUAGCUUGAUUUAUUUACAGGUACAACUAUGGCUUCGUAUACAAAAAAAAUUCUUAUGUAUACGGCAGGUCUGUUGGCGUGUUCGGGGAAGCGUGUAAUCCAGGGCGUGACAUUUUUAAAAUGAUUUUUCGUGUGGGUAAUAUUUUUAAAAGACAGAAUUAUUUGAUAUUUUGUGCAUUCGCAUCAUUGCGUCUAAGAAGUGUUUAGAUGAAUGUACAUGGCAUGCAUCAUCUUUCUGAGGACUGAUUAGCUGCAUGAACAGUUGCAUUCUACUAUUGCUGGUUGUGUGAGUGGAUAUUGUGUAUUGUGGUAAUAUAUCUAAUGGUACACCGUACAAAUAUAAGGAGGACUCUAUUGGCUAAUAUUAUUUUCAAAUUGACCCUUUUUCGAAAAGACUAGCUUCAUAAAAUGGGUCCUGGGGCGUACCAUAAAAAUAAGAAGAAAAUUAGUUAUCAGCUAUCUACUUUUUACUACAUCUAAUGUGUAAUCUUUUCCAACUUUAUUUAGAAUAAUUAUCUCUAUAAAUUAUUGGUUUAAAAUUUUCAUAUUUUUAUAAAAAUGGAUAAUUUUUGAAAAAAUUAAUUUAUGAUCCUUUAGAAAAUUAAAAUUUAAAAUUAUUUGUGCGCAAAGCAAUGAUUAACAACUAGUUUAUUUUGAAAUUAAUAGAAUAAGAAAGAUCUAGAAGUAAGAAUCCCCUAUCUGACAUCUUUACUUUGCUUCAAAAUAGAUUCUUUCCCAAAGUGGCAAGUAAAAAUCAUACUUUCAUAGCCAAAGUUUUAGUUUUCGCAAAAUGACGAGACAAUUAUUGAUACAUGACAAUUACAUUUUAAACUAUUAUGGAAAGCGUUUAGAAAUACAAAACAAAUUUGUAUAUGCAGUUAAUAUAUCAAAGUUUGUUUAAAAAAGUUAUCUUUAUAAAUAAUUAGGUUUUGAAUUUUUUUUAUAAUUUCUAUAGAAUGUAUUAUUUUCCUUAAAACUAAUUGCUAUUUUUUAAAAAACAAAAUUUUAAAAUAUUUUUGUGCAAUGCACAGGUUAAUAACAAAUUAAUUUUGAAAUUAAUCGACCAUAGAAUACUAAAGCAAAGAAUCCAAAACCUUGCUUCUUUAAUUUGCUUUAAAAUUUAUUCCUUUUCAAAGCAACAAGCAAAAUAUCAUAGUGUAGAGCAAAAACUUCUCGUCUCACCCCGCAAGCCAAAUUGUUGAUACGUUGCAAUCUUACCUAUCACAAUUAAAUUUUUAUAAUUACAAAAGGUUUAAACAAUUGAGUAAAUGUUACAAAUAGGAAAGAAAUAUUGGCACGCAAUCGGUAUACCUAUCUGCAACUAAAUCAUUCCUAUAAGUAACUAGGUUAUAGAUUUUUUGUGAUUCCUCACUUCCCGUGGAAUAAUCUAUUCUAGAAUUACUCUAGCCCAAGCACGCAUAAUCUUCUUAACUUUUUGGGCGUAACCACCGCCCAAAAUAUUAUACUCAGAUUUAAAAAUUCACAACUACCAGAUAAUGUGGAAUUCGUCUCACUAGCCGGCCUUAGCUGACCUUGUGGAGAGCCACUCUCUACCCACAAUGAUCGUUAAUCGGGAAACCACCCCACUGCCUAACAUACAAUAGUCGAGUUAAGAAACUCACAAGCGUCAGGCAAUAUGAGACUAUACUUCUUGCUAAUGAUUUGCUCUAAUACCAACUAUGACGCCCUACUUUCCAGGGUGUCGCCCAUUUUAGAACAACUCUAGUUCUAACACGUUUAAUCUUCUUAACCUCUUGGGUAUAGCCAUAGCAUUGUAACGACCCAUCUUUCUAGUAAUAUAACUCGCUGAAUCCAAACUACUAACCUAAAUUCUUAAGCCCGAUGAUUAUUAUUAGUUUCAAUAGUCUCUUAUAUAUCUAAUCACAAUUCAAUUCCUAUUCGAUGUUAGACUAUUCGGGUGUCAUAAACUUUAACAUCCUCAUCAGCCAAUUAAUCAUACAUACAACCCAAGGUCAGCAGGCGAUGUGAUACUUGUCUCGCUAGCCUUGUCAUUCAAAUCUUGGCAUAGCCUGUCAUUCUGACCCUUUCUCAGCCGAGACUCAUCUUGCACUUCCGACAAGUGAUUAGCUCUGAUACCAAAUGCAAGGACUCGAAUCACAAGCAAUAAUCACUCAUUGGGCUCAUACCAUUAGCCCAAAAUUCUUAAGCUCAGUAAUUAUUACUAGUGUCUAUGAUCUCUUAUGUACCAAAUCAUAAUUCCUAGUAUGGAACAUUUUCUUUUCCAAGUGAAAUCCCCUAGUAUAUGAAAGAAUGAAAAAGUGCUUUCGUUGUUGUGGAAUAAGAAGCCUUCGUAUCUUAAUGCAUGUAUUUAAUUGUGAGACUAUUGGGGUGUCAAAAUGCUAUAGUCCGAUUAACGGGUUUAACCCUAUUAUAAUAUAUAGGAUUAUUCCAAAUUCUAAGAAUAUCAUAUUUUUGAUAAGUUUUUAUAAAACAAACUAUUUUACGCCAAACAAAUUUAUAAUUUUCUAAAAAUAAAAUUUUAAAAUUAUUUGGAUUUAACUCAUCGGUUAGUGACUAGUUUACUUUCAAAUUAAUUGACCCAAGUAUAUGGAACCAAAGAAUCCCCAAUCUAACAUCUUUAAAUUGGUUUAACCUAUGUUCGUUUCCAGAGUGGCAGGUAAAUAAUUAAUCAUACUAUUGCACCUAAAACUUCAUUUUUCGCCAAGCAACAAGUCAAAUUAUUGAACAUACAAUCUUGCUUAAAAUAAUUCCAUUAUUUAUAAUGAAAAAAAAAUUUAAACUAUUAUUGAAAGUACUAAAAUUUAGAAAAAAAUUUGGGUACACAGUCAGUCCAUAAAUAUAUAGCUACAUCUAAUAUGUAACAUUAUAAAAUCUUAUUUUGAAAAAUUUUCUCUACAAAUAAUUAGUUUUUAAAAAUAUUUUAUUAAAAAAUAUCUCUACAAAUAAUUAGUUUUUCAAAUUUUAAAAAUUUUUAUACAAUAGAUUAUUUUUCCUAACUUUAAUUUAUUAUUUUUUAAAAGUAAGAUUUCAAAAUUAUCGGUAUACAAUGGACCGAUUAGCAACUAGUUUAUUUAGAAAGUAAUUAAUCAGCACAAGAAUAGAACAANUUUUAAAAUUAUCUGUAUACAAUGGACCGAUUAAUUAGCAACUAGUUUAUUUAGCAAGUAAUCAGUACAAGAAUAAAGCAAAAAAACCCACCAACCCUCCACCUUUAUUUUGUUUUAAAAUUGGUUCUCUUUUAAAAUAGCAAGCAAAGAAUCAUAUAACAAGCCAAGUUGGUGACACAUACCAAUCUUAUUUAAGACCACUAGAUUGUUUAUAAUUAAAAAGAUAUUAAAUUUUUAUGAAAAGAGCUUAAAAUAAGAAAGAAAAAUGGAUAUGCAACUAGUAAAUAUAUCUAUCUAUAACCACAUCAUAUAUAAUAAUGUCCAUCCUUAUUUUAAAAAUUUAUAUCUGCAAAUAAUUAAAUUUUAAUCUUUUUAUAAAUUUUAUAACAAGAUAUUUUUCCCAAAAUUAAUUUAGUAUUUAAAAGAUAAAAUUUUAAAAUAUCCGUGUGCAAUGCAUUAGUAAGCAACUAGUUUUUUAAAAUUAAUUGAGACAUAAUACAAAUCAAUGAAUCACAAUACUACAUCUUUAAUUUGUAUUAAAAUAUAUAAGUUCCUUUCUAAAGCGACAAGUACAAAGAAUCAUAUUUCUGUGGCCAUGCAUAGUUAUUGCUUUCCCCAAGUGGCCAACUAAAUUAUUAAUGUAUGGUAAUCGAUUUUACUUAUGGUAAUGAUAUUUGUUUAUAAUAAAAAAAUAUUUAAACUAUUAUAGAAAGAGUUAAGAAAAGAAAAUAAAAUUGGAUGUGCAAUUGGUAUACCUAUUUAUAGCUUCGUCUUUAAUUUUCUUUAAAAUAGGUUCCUUUUCAAAGGGACAAGCAAAGAAUAAAACUUUAUUUCUCGUACCUCCUUAUAAGUACAUCGAAAGUCAUUUGAAUCUCUCUGCUCCUCUUUCUCCUUAACACAUAUACACAGAUUUAGUGAUUCAAUACAUUGAAAGCCAUUUAGAUCUCUCUGCUGCUCUUUCUCUUUAACGCAUGAAUGGAUAUUUAGCCAUUUGGAUCUCUCUACUGCUAUUUUUCCUUAACACAUGAAUAGAGAUUUAGCGAUUCAGGUACGCACAUAUUUAAUUUUUUACAUUAUUUUUAUUGCCUAUCUUUUAAUUAUUUCAGUCAAAUUCUAUUAUUUCUUACCGUAAUUGAGGUUUGAGACUCAUUUAUUCAAUAGGGAGUAAGCCUCUUAAAUAACACCAUUACAUGACUAACAAAGAAAAAAACUUCUAAUAAUAUAAGAAAAUUACUCAAAUAUUCAAUCAAGUUUAAAAGGAAGGAAAGGACAUUCUAAUAUGAUAUAUGUUAACAUAUGGAAUGCAUAAUAUCUUUUAGAUUUCGAAGAGAGUCGAUUUUUUCUUGCUUUAUUUUAGCUUUACUUGAUAUUCCGUGACACCUCAAUAGUCUCAUAUUAGAUGAGAAUGAGAUUGUGAUUGAGUAGAUUCUUUGACCCUAUUAAUAAUAAUUGGGUAUAAGCAUUUUGGGCCAGUGAUUUGGACCCAACUGAGUUAUUAUUGUUAGUGGGUCAAGUCGUUAUAUUUAGUAUCAGAGUCGGUUCACUAGCCGAAAGUGUAAGCGGGCCUUACAUUGCUUAAUGAUCUUAGGCUGUGUGUAUGAUUGCACUGACCAAAACGUCAGGACCUAAACAGGGAAAAUCUAUGACACGUCAAUAUUCCCAUAUCGGACGAGAAUGAGAUUAUGAUUGAGUAUAUAAGAGAACAUGAAUCCUAAUAAUAAUAAAUGGUCUUAAGCAUUUUGAGCUGAUGAUUGGGGCCCAAUAAGUUAUUAUUGCUCCACCAGCCCAAUCAUGGGCCAUAAUAAUAAUAAUAACUGAGUUAAGUAUUUUGGUUUUGCGUAAUUGUCAUCACAAUUUACUUAUAACCCGAAAGUAAACCACGAGAUACUAUUUUUAAAAACUACGAAUUUUCACGCAUAAACUGUGUAGGGCUCUAUAUUACAUUUAAUGCUUUCACAUUUGAGUGUUAAGGCAUCUAGAUUUGAGUUCUAGAUAGAAAUAUUGGUUUAUAAGACACAAAAAUAAAAUUUCGCCGGUUAGGCUAUUAAUUUGUUUUCUGAAGCUCUAUAUUAAUAUUGUGUAGCUAUUAAUUAAUCGGAAUUUCGAUGGAUUUCAUCGCUAUUUAUGUACAAAUUUAAAAUACAUGUUCAUUUAAAAAUAGCUUUGUGCCACAUCGCGCGCGCAAUUUCAAAGCGAAAUUAUAUAAUUCAUUCAUAUUAAAUUGUACUAAAACUCUACAUUGCGAACAUAGUUAAUUUGUCCAGGUUUCAGAUUAAGUUCAACUAAAACUCUACGUCCUAGAUUCAUUCUCCAAAUUUAAACUCUACAGUUCAUGUUUUAAUUGAAGUAUAGCAAGUAAAAAAUUAUACUUUGUAGCGAAACUUUCGCCAAAUGACAAGCCAAGUUGUUGGUACAUACCAAUCUUAUUUAAGACAACUAAAUUAUGUAUAAUUAAAAAGAUUUUAAAUUGUUAUGAAAAGAGCUUAAAAUAGGAAAGAAAUUUGGUUAUGUAAUUGGUGUAUCUAUCUAUAACUAUAUCAAAUAAAUAAUAAUAUCUAAUCUAAUUUAAAAAAGUUAUGUCCGCAAAUAAUUAGAUUUUAACCUUUUUAUAAUUUUUUGUAUAAUAUAUUAUUUUUCUAAAAUUAAUUUAUUAUUAAAGAAAUAAAAUUUUAAAAUAUCUAUGUGCCAUGCAUGGGUUAGCAACUAGUUUAUUUUGGAAUUACUCGAAACAAAGAAUAAUAUAUAUUGGUUCCUUUCUAUAGUAGCAAGAAAAGAAUCAUAUUUCUAUUACUAUAGUUACUGCUUGGCUAGCUAAAUUAUUGAUAUAUGGCAACUUUAAUUAAGGUAAUGAUAUUACUUAUAAUAAAAAGGGUUUAAACUAUUAUAGAAAGAGUUAAAAAUAGAAAGGAAAUUUGGAUAUGUAAUUAAUAGAUCAAUUAUAGCUUCAUCUUUAAUUUUCUUUAAAUUAAAUAAGUUCCAUUCCCAAGUGACAAGCAAAGAAUCACACUUUAUUUCUCACACCUCUAUAUAAAUACGUUGAAAGCCAUUUGGAUAUCUUUGUGCUCUUUUUUUUAAAUCACGGAUAGCCAUUUAGCUAUUUAGAUACACACAUAUUUAAUUUUUUACAUUAUUUUUAUUAUUUAUCUUUUGAUUUUGAUUUUCCUUUUCUCAGGUUCGGUUAUUAAAUUUUUAUUGUAAUUGAGGUUGAAGACUUUGAUUUAUUUAAUAAGAAUUAAAAUCCUUAAAUAAUACAAUUACACGACUUUGAUUUAUUAAUUUCUUUUUUUUCAUAACUGUCAUCGCCAUUUUACCAGUUCUAUCAGAUUUAUAAUUAAGUCUUAAAAGACAAAUAAAAACCAUGAGAUAAUAUGAUUUUUAAAAACUACGAAUUUUCAUGCAUAAACUAUGUACGUAGGGUUCUAGAUUACAUUUAAUGCAUUUCAUUUGAGUGUUAAAGCAUGCAAAUUUGAGUUCUAGAAAUAUUGAUUUAUAAAGAAGACAAUAACCUUUCACCAAUUAGGCUAUUAAUUUAUUUUUCGUAGUUCAAUAUUAAUAUUGUGUGGCUAUAUUAAUGAGUUUUUCGAUGGAUUUCGUUUCCCUGUUUAUGCACAAAUCUAAAAUACAUGUUAUUUGAAGAUAAUAAUCUAUUUAAUAGAUAUUAUACUAAAAUAGUAUCGUCACGAUAGCGUUGUGCCACUUGGUACUAUUUAGCAACGUUAGAGUUUCCAAACCAAUGAUUAGCAACAUUGAAUAUGAUCUGGACCUUUUAAACUAUUUAGAAAUUAGAUUUCAUGCUUUUUCAUAUACUAUUCCCUUGUCCAUAUCCAUCAAGUAGACAUAAAAUGAAGGGCUAAAAAUGAAUAUACUUCAAAAAGUGAUGAUAUAAUUUUUAUAUUCAAGAUCUAAUGUCUAGAUCUUGUUUUUAAAUAGUUUAAAAAAGUUUCUAAUAAAAAUUUAGCUAAUUUGGAUUCUGCUUCACCGUUAAAUAAUCAAACGCACUUUAUCAGCCAUUAAAAUUAUAAAUUUUGUGACAUUUUGAUCGUUCGAUUAACGAUGCCGAAAGGUUAUGAAAUUUUAUUUCUAAACAAUUUAAAAAGUCUAUAUCAUGUUCAACUGGGCUGAUCGUCGAUUUUGUAAACUCUUUCAUCAAAACUAAAUUGGUAGCUAGUAAGACUAAGCUGUUUACUACCAAUAGUAUCCAAUUCUCCUACUCCUAGAUAUGAUAUAGUAACAUUAAUCAGGUCAAGAUUGUUUCCUUACCUAUUUAUACUGGAGAUACUUUAUCAAUAUUCCUCCAUUUGUGCAAUUCUUGUACAAACUAAAUAUAAAAUCCUAAAUCUUAACAUGAAUAAUUAAAAAAAUGGCCAAUUUAAAAACAUAGUCAGUAAAAAAUGCCCCAAAUUUUAUUGAAAAAAACAACCUUGCCCACAGAACGGAAUAGACCUACGACAAAUAUAAGGAUUCCUCUGCCCACGUGGAUAAAGUCUACCCUAUAUUUGCAUGGCGUACCACUUGUUACAAAUACCACAUCACACAACAUCCACUCACACAAUUCAGUAAUCAGAAAAUGCAUAUGCUCAUACAGUUAAUGAAUUCUUAAAAAGAUGAUGCAUACUUUAAGCACUUCUUAGGCGAACAAUUAUGUGAAUGCACAAUACAUCAACCAAUUCUAUCUUUUAAAAGUAUUUCUCACCUGAAAAUUUUAUUUUGAAAACCAAAAUAUGGGAUAAAUCUAAAAAAAACUAUUUGAAAAUUAUUUUCCACACAGAAAUUCAAUUAUUUGAAAACUGACUACUACGAGGGGUAGAAGAUAUUUUUAAGCAUAAAUCCACAAGCUACCUAUAACUCAGAAUCUCUUCUUCUUUUUCUUUCUAAUGAAUUGAAAAGACAGAUUCCAUUCAAUAAUGAAUAAGAUUGAACAAGAAAGAAUACAGAAUACUCAAUAAAAAAUAGAAGAAAAACUUCAAUUUGCCCAUCCUGUGAUUUAGCGUAUUUUUACUUUACCACGUUGCGGUUCAUAUAUAGAUGUACUUAACUACCCUGCGCUUUUUCAUUUUUGUUUCAUCAUAAAAACUUGCUGUUAAUUAUGGUCAUAAAGUGGUAAUUUUUAAAAAGUCACAAGGUGGUAUUCUGUUUGACUCUAUUUGACUAAAAAUAAAUAAAUAAAACCACGUGUGUGACAUUUUGAAUCGCACGGUCGCAAAAUGAAAGCAAUUAACCUAGACCAAGAAUAAUUUUGUAUAAAUUUUUAAAUCACAGUGUGGCAAAUGAAAAUAUACUAGACCAAAGAGGGGUGAAUUGAAGUUUACCCCCCGAAUCAUAAUAAGGGCUGUGCAGCAGUCUAAUGGUGUAUGUAUUCUAUCCAGUCUAGCUUGUCGAUUUCCAUGCGGAGCUAGCAGGCCAGGAGGAUUAAUUAAGAAAGGGCGAAAUUAACUCGGUGAAUGCUCUCUAUCACCAUAGAUAGAUGGAUUGAUUAAAACCUAGCUAUCGAUCGCCAUGGACAUCUUUUCAUUCAAGUACGAAUCUGCAAAGCGUGCUGUGCUUAGAAUCUUGCUCGAUGGGUCCGCACACAAGAUGUACGUGGAGGCGUGGAGGGGAGUCGGGGCAACCGCUUUACUCCGAGAGGUGGCGGAAGAGGUCGAGGCGCGGGGGAAGCGCAAGUUUGAGACGGUGAUCCAGGUGGUGCUGCCCGCACCAUUUCGGAACGGCAGGGAGAUGCAGAGGGCGGUGGCGGAGCAGCUGAAUCUUCUACUACCAUUACCUCCUUCGGUGACGGCUGCUGCUUUCGACGCGGCGGACGAAGACGACGACUUCUCGGGUGUGGAAUUCAGCUAUAGAGACCCGCUUUCGGAGGUCGCUGAGGAGAUAAACAGAGCCGUGAGGGAUCGUAGUGGUGUGCUGCUCGUCCUUUGCAAUAAUAUUGCGGGUGGCAAAUUAAUCGACGCUAAUGGUUUGGGUAUUCCUAUCGAUAGGCAGGGGAGCCAGAAUGCGGUCUUGUGGACCUCUGGGAUGAAUAUUAGCAGGGAAGGUGCGUCAGCAAGUGCGGAUUUGAUUGUAAAGAUUGAGCCACCGAACAAAGCUGCCGCACUUGAUCUUGUGUACAAGGAGGCCGUCAGGAUUGCCCGUUACAUUGACGAGAGCAGCGGUGGGCGCUUGCGGACCACCCCACUAAUAGUCCUCCACUGCUUUUGGUAUUGCCUGCUGUUGUUGCGUAGAGCAGCGUUUAAUCCAUCGGCACUACUACUACCCGAUGGUGGUCGGCCCCUGGAAGCUGCUGUCAAGUAUUUUGUAUGCGACGGAAUUUUACAAGGAGAUGAUGCGGCGGCGUGGGAGAUUGGGAAAGCACUAGCUCCGGUGAUUGGAUCCAUAGUAAAUGAUCAAUAUUGGCAGGAAGAAAUAACCUCUUCCACUUGGACACCGAGGCUGUCUGAGUUGCGGUUGCCCCCGAAAACUUUGUUGAUCGACUCUAUCACACAAGGAGAUUGGGUAAAAUCAUUGUCAUUGGAGACGAAGAGUUACCGUUGGAUCUCAAUAUGCUCUCCUCAAAAUAAUAAUCCAGAGCCAUGGGAUUUCCUAUCCAAAUUAUAUGGCAGUUCAGUCAUGUCUGAUGUUUCAUCCUUUUCUGGGCAUUUUGAGAAAACACUCAAAGCUCUACCAUACGACUUCUUCGACCAUUUCAGCAACGUUCGAGUGCUGGACCUUCUCGGCUGCAUAGUAAGUCCUAUAGGACAUUCCUCCUUUCUUCGUCUUUGCAACCUGAGAAUGCUUAGGCUGGAGCGGUGUGAAGUAACUUCUCUUGAUCCUAAUUCUCAUUCGUCAGCACCAGAGGGACGACGAGAACCAAUACUUUUUGAUAACUUAUGGGUCCUGAAUUUAUACAACUCGGAUGCCGGUGCAUUUCUUCUAGCAGGGAAAGCCUUUGAGCUCAUGCCUAAUCUUUUGGAGCUCGAUCUCAAAGAAGGAACUUCUCUCCUACACCAAAUAGCUCUGAAUGAACUUCGAGAGCACAUGCACAGAUUGGAAGUUUUGAAACUAUCAGGGAACGUCAGUACUAACUUUUUGCCAAGGAGCCUAUCAAUGGCAAUCAGCCUCAAAGAGCUUAUUCUCAACGAUUGCAACGGGUUAGAAUAUCUAAACUUCAAUCUCCCUGCAACAAUUGAAACAAUCAGCCUACAAAGGUGCGCAUCGCUAAAAGAGGUGGAGCUAGUCGACCCUGCAGCAGCUCCUUUGCCCAACCUCAAGACCUUCCGCCUCAGCGGCUCUAAGCUGAUCGCCAAGCUCUCCCCACAGGGAUGCCGUAAGUUGGAGAACGUAGACCUACAGGAAUUGACGGGGCUCGAGGUGCUCGAUCUUUCAUGCACCACAAUAAAAGCGGUGGAUAUCAGCAAACUCUCACAACUGAAGCAAUUAUUUCUCCUCGGAUGCGAGCAACUCCGUAGAGUAGCCGGUCUUGAUAAAGGACCAAGACUAGAUGUGCUGUACUUGGAUAACUACAAUGGCGGCGGUGCUUGCGACGUCGAUCCGUGCCUUGAUUCCUUUCAAAAUCAAAGACAAAGUGAGUUAACCAAGGAAACUAAUGAUGCUGAUCAAAGAUUAUUCCAUGCUCAUGUGGUCGUGAAGGAUGUUAGGCUCUUCCGGUCACUUCGUGAUGCUUUUCCUGACUCAAGCAGAGCAAAAUCCCGCUUCCAUAUCCACGUCAAGGGUUCUUCAACUGCUAAGAGAGGCACUAAUAUUGGUACUACCACCAGAUCGAAUGCUACUAUAACGUCGGCAUCAUGUUAUGCAGAUGUUUUAAACACUAUGAUCGAUCGUCACCGUCGACAUCACCCGUCGCCACCUGCUAUGCACCUGAAUAAUCACAUAGAGGUUGAUGGAGGUUGCGAUUCUCGAAUAGUAGAGGAAAUUGGAUUUACAAGUAUAAUGGCAUUUGCUAAUUCUUUAUUUAUUCGUGGCAACACAUCUAAUUUUACCAUCAGCAUUCCAUUAAGAGAUCUCAAAUGUUUACGCAUUAAGAGGUGCCCUAACAUGGAGUUUAUCUUCUCCUGGGGGGAUGAGUAUAAUUAUUUGUUGGAAUCAGAGAGCAUAUGGCUCAGCCAACUUCCGAGGCUCAAAGCUUUAUGUAGAGAAGGAAGGAUUGAGCAACUGAAGCAUAUUGACUUGGAGUUUUGUGCGAGACUAGAAUACGUAUUUUCCUCACUCUCGGAGCUACACGAGUUGGAAACAAUCAAAAUCCGUUAUUGCUGCAAUCUAAAGGCAAUUUUCAUCGUUGAUUAUGUUUGUUAUCCAAAGCUACUUCCGAAACUGAGGUCCAUCCAUCUACAAGCGCUUCCAAAGCUACGGCACAUAUGCGAGCCUAACAUUAAUGCUCCGUUGCUAGAGGAGCUCAAGUUGAGAGGGUGUUUUAAUCUCAGAAAGCUUCCUCUUGUUGGCCAGUCAAACGCUCGUUCAGUGAGAGCUGUGAAGAUUAGCUGCGAGAAGUAUUGGUGGGAUAAGCUACAACGGUAUGGUUUAAAAUCCUAUCGCCUCUCUUCUCUCUACAACCCAAAAUUUUCUCCUGAUUAUAAGAAGCCUAUGAAAGCUAGAUAGUUAUGGAGCACAGCUCUGCUCCAAUGUUCAUAUGCAUGGUGAACCAUCUCUCUCUCUCUCUCUAUAUAUAUAUAUAUAUAUUACUUGUAUAUUUGUGUGUAUACACUCUCACGUGUGCUUAAUCGUGUGCAUCUAUAUAUAUCGAUGUUAGCCAAGUUCUUCAUAUGCUUUGGAGAAAUAAGCUAACCAUAGCGCAGCAUGGUCUCUCUUUUCUAUUUAUAGGUGUGUGAGUUUGUCUAUGUACAUGUGUAAAACAUAUUAUAUAUAUAUAUAUAUUUUUGAUUUCUUGAGACUUGGAGUAUGUAACAAAGAAAAUGUCUGAGUGUGUAUUUGACUCUUUAUUGAUGACAAUAAGGACAACAUAUAUUAAUUUUUUGUAUCUUAUUUUCUACUCUCUAUCCCUGAUUGUUUUCUCAAAGUUGUGUGAACAAAUUCUAUUUGCAUUAAUUUAUGUUACACAACUGAUAAAUUACACAAAAUGAUAAUGUAGUCAAGGUUUUCUAAUACUUUUUUGCAUGAUUAUUUAGUUCCUACGUUAAUAGCUGGAUAAAUUUGAAUUGAAUUAGCAAAACCUAUGUAAAUUUGUGAAAUUCUUUUUGUAGAUCGGCCUGCUUUGAUUCUAGCUAGAGAGCUCCAAAGAAUAAAUAAAUAAAUAAGUAAAUAAAGUACUCUCGAAGGAACACGAAAAGACUUUACAUUCUCUAUUAGAUCUUGUGAAUUAAUAUUAACGUUCCCUAUUAAUUACAACCGCUUAUAAAACUAUCAAAUAGUGUUUAUUAUCUACUUUCUAAUUCUUGGAUCAAAUACUACUCAACCUACAACCACUUAUAUAACCCACGGAAUCCAAAGGCUAAAAUAAUGGAAAGCAUACACUAUUCCUCUGCUGUCGAUAGUAUUAUAGCUUUACUCCUCUAUAACAUCCUGUAAAUUAGUAGGUUGUGAUUUAUUCCUCUGCUAAGUAAUGUUUGAAGGUCUUAUUUAAAUCAUUAUUAUUAGCUAAUGUUUUUGGCAUUAUUGAUUGAGAAAUUUUAACAUUUUUUAUCAAAAUUUCUCAAAAUUGAAGUCAGUUUAUUGGCCUUUACUUACUCCAUCAAGAAAAUCAGAAUUAAUGGAUGACUCUGUUUGUUGGUGUGUGGUAUGUGGGAGUUCCAUUCCGACUCUGAUUUACAGGUGAUGAGAAUUUCUCAUUCACAACUUUUCUAAUAUGGUUUAGAAGGCUGGAUUGAAAAUUGAAUUCAGGCAACACGAAACUGGUUCUUAAAUUCAAAAUGUGGCUAGGCCACGUUUCUUCGGACCAUGGACGAGAACGGCGCCCCGGCCUGUAGGCUUUAUUCAAAAUGUGUUUCUUAAAUUUAAGUUACGGCCUGUAAAUGCAAACUGCCAAUCAAAUUAUAACCUUGUCUUAUACAUUGAAGGAAGAAAAAUUAACUUUUAGGACAUGCUUGUUUCACCAAAAAUUAGAGUUGGGUGAAGUCAUUUUCGGCCAUAAAUAACAAUUUUCGUUAUUUGAUUUGUCGUAAAUUAAAUUCGCCUGUAACUCCAUGUUUCCAAAACACCAUAAUUGACUUCGCCCCGGUGGCAGUGAUACCGAAGAAAGAGGUAGAAAACAAUGAUGAAAAAUUAAUUGUUGUAACUCUUUUCACCCUCUUAUCUUCUAACAUGAAAAUUUUUGUAUAACAAAUAGUAAUGAAAAAAUAGUUGGCUAAAGAGUUGAUGGUUGGUACCGAGAUUCCAAGUUCGAAGCACAGUUAUUUUAUAUUUCUAGCUGAAUUAAUUUUUUAAAAAAUGAACGAAAUGGUUGCUUGCUACCUUGCCAUCAGAAAAUAAAAUAUAUAUAUAUAGGAUAACGAUAGUUAAAAAACCCUCAACUUCCAAUCAAGUAAAUAGCAAUAGAAAAAUAAUUUUCAUGUGGACUUUAGUUCAACUAGUAAGUCACUAUUAAUUUCAAAACCAAUUCCGGGCAAAAUCAAUUCGCGAUAAUGUCAAAUUCUUGUCAAGUUUUACUCAUUUUCACAAAUAAUAUUAGGUCAAUCAAUGUUUAAUAACUAAUAGAAUCAUUAAAUUUGAAUUUGAUUAAACAGGGGUAUACCCUAUUUGAGAGUACAAAUAAGGUUCAGUUGGAAAGCGAUAAGCGAAGCAAGCUAAAGUAAACAGGGAAACAAGAAAAGAAGCGAAAACAGGGAAGAGGCCCCAACAGAACAAGAAGAAUGAAGGAGAUUUGGAAGCCAACAUAGUUGCAGAACAGCUGCAAAACACUCGGCCGUCGGCGAGACCACAGUUUAAUCAUCCUUCCCCGAGCGACAUCUUCCACAAUCGCACCAUGCAGAGAAUGCUCUGUCCCAGGAAUUCGCUCUGAUGGAAAAAAUAUAAAAGAUGAGUGGAAAAAAUAAAAAGAUGAAAUUUUAACAUUUUAACUUAAUAAAAUAUAAAAAUUCAAAUGGAAAAAAUAAAAAGAUGAGUGGGUCUCGAUCGGAAAGACAAAGUUAACGAGGCUAUUUCAUAACGUCAUAUGGUUGAGGCGGUCUCUAUACAUUUUUACCGAAAAUCAGAGUAAGUGGAAAAUUAUUUUUUUUAAAAAAACCUUGACCCCCAAAGGUGUAAUAGACCCGCCACAAAUAUAGAGAAUUUUUAAAAUAAACGGACAGAAUCUCCGCUGUAUUUGCAUUGUUGGGAAUCCAGCACUCGCCCCGGUACCGGAUCUUGUGAAUCCACAACUCGCUCUGAUACCGACUGCUGUAGAUUCGGUAUCGAUUGUUGGGAUUCCGCAACGGAAGCGUCGAAUCGACUUUUUAUCAUAAACCCGUCUCCUCAGCAAAAGUUGAUACAAUCACAAAAGAGAGAAAAACCAAAACAGAAAAUAUGCGAGUAAAAUAAGAUUUAUUAAAUAAGAGAAGAUUAUACCUGACUCCUCUUCUACAACAGAGUAGCUAUAACCCGAGCCCUUUUUUUGAAUCUCUUCUGCCAUUCUCUCGUCUUUUAUAAAUCUAAAAGACAACUCUCUUUCUCUCUGACAUGCACCCGUGCACUAAGUGCAUGCAACCGGCCAACUCUCUCUCUCUGGUACAAUCCACCAAAGAGCUUCAACUUUUUGACCGUACUUCCUCUCCAAAAGCACCCCACAUGGUGCUUAUAUAAUGUUUACAAUAAAACGUACCCAAAUCCUAAUAUAUUUAGGAUUCCUACUCUAAUAAAUAUUUAAAUCUAUAUUUAGUUUAUCUCCAAUAGAUUUAAAUAUUUAUCCUAAUCUAGUUAGAUUUAUACUCUAAUUAAUAUAUAAAUCUUAAUUUAUCUCCAACAGAUUUAAAUAUUAAUUCUUAUCCAACUAGAAUUAAUCUACAAAUCUAACCAAAUCCUAACAAUCUCCACCUUGGUUGUCUUUUUAGUCUUCAACCGCUGCGUCGAGCUCACCAUGCAAGCUCCACCUUGAGCUUGUCUCCUCCGCUCGAUGUCGCCGCACCCGUCGCUCCGCCUCGAGCGACUGCACCACCGUAAACUUUUGCAACCCAAACCGUCUUCGCUCCCGUUCUGACUGUGCUCCCGUUUUGACUGUGCUCCCGUUCAUAACGUAUAAGUUCCCACGCUUGUUCGCCUCGCACACGACCCGAUCUCGCUUUCGGACCCUCAUAGCUCCACCUGAAGCCGAAAAAUUGCAACCCUUCGAGUCCAACGCGCCUAACGAGAUCAAAUUUCGAUUCAAACCAGGAACAUGCCGCACACCUGUCAGCAUCCUCACAACCCCAUCGUGCAUUCAGAUCUUCACCGUGCUAACUCUCAAAACUUUGCACGCCAUACCGUUCCCUAUCAAAGCCUUUCCACCCUUAAUUUCCUUAUAAGUGGCAAAAGACUUCUUCUCCGGGCAUACGUGGAAGGAACACGCCGAAUCGAGCACCCACGCAUCAUCCGAAAUUUUACACCUCUGGUCGCCGCAUACAGCAUAUCUGAAUCGAUCGUUUCCGACUCUAUCGCCUGCACUGUCGCUGAUACCGUCUCAUCCUGGUUCACAACAAUUUUCUCUCUUUCUGUCGUUUUAACUUCUUCAGAUCAUCCUGAAGUUUUCGACAAUUGCGCUUGAUAUGCCCUUUCCUGCGACAGUAAAAGCACUCUACCUCAGAUACCGACUUCUUCCGUCGAUCUCCGGUCGCCGAUAUUGUUGCCUCCUUCUUUGCUGUCACAACCAAAGCAGUAUCCCGGCCCUGUGUGCCGGACUCCUAAGUCAUCUUCCGCAUCUCAUUUGAGAGAAGCACCGCCGUGACCAUCUCCAUGCUUAUAGUCUCUUUGCCAUAAAGCAACGUGGUCACCAGAUUCUCAUAUGUCGCUGGUAGCGAAGAUAGUAAAAUCAGCGCCUUAUCUUCGUCAUCCAGAUUGACUCCGAUGCUAGUCAACUGGGCCACCACCUUGUUGAACUUGUUAAGAUGCUCAUGUAGGCUUGACGCUUCCUGCAUCCGCAGCGUAAACAGUCGCUACUUUAGAUACAGCCUGUUCGUCAGAGAUUUGGUCAUGUACAGAUCUUCUAAUUUAUCUCAAAUAGAUUUAAAUAUUAAUUCUUAUUCAACUAAAAUUAAUGUACAAAUCUAACCAAAUCCUAACAUGCACGGCAUAGCAUAUAGUACAAAUUAACAACCAGACCUCCACUCACACACAUAAUAAGAGGAUGUAUAAGGAUCAUCAUAUUACAUCAAACAGCUAGUCGUCCUUAGUCACGUCCAUUCCAUAAUCAUUCACAUUCAUCCUAGAAGUUGAAAUAAUCUCCCACACGAGGACUUCCCAUUUAAAACUCUAAUUUUGCGAAAAAUCUCGAGAAAAUCAAUUUAUAAAUAUUUCCCACACGGAAACCAUUAGUUUGAAAACGCUAUCACGAGGGGUAGAAAAUCAUUAAUAGAAAUCUGUGUUCAAAACCACAUGUGUUCAAAAAUCACGAAUGAUCGAAAUCAUGAGUAUCCAAAACACAUAAAUACAUCAUCCAAAAAACUACGAGUAUAAAACACCAACUGAACCACAUGUAUCAUCUACUAUCAGGUGUAGGGGUGAACUAUACUAUCACCUAUUUAUCUAAUGCUAGGUAUGAAGUAAUCAAGAACGUAUACCGUAGAUCGAAACCUCUAUGACCGCCCAUUAGCUAUGGCCUCACGCACCGUCCUAACCCUCACUGCCUAAGCUACCUGAAAAAAAUGGGGGGGUGAGAACAUGUAAACAAAUCUCCCUCUCUCAGUGGGUAUCGCAAGCUGAUGAAAGCAAGCUGUACCCACUAGCAAAUAGAGAGGUAAACAGUAGUAGUAACAAGCAAAUCGGGUAUGAUAACAAUGAAUAAUAUCCACCGGUAAUUACCAAAGAAGUUAUUACUGUAAAGUGAGAUAAUAAAGCAACGACCAACUAUAAUCAAUAGUCAAAUUAGUGCAAUAGAAAUGAUAAAUGAACUGGAAACAAUCGUAAUGACGGUAUGAAUUACCGCUACUGCAAAGGGAGAUAGAGAAAUGACUAUACGUCAACUACAACUGAUAACACAAGUAUACCCAAUCUAUACUGCCAUGUCGGUCUAAGGAUAUCAGGCAAACAACAACCGCUUUGUCUAGCAUAUAACCCUAGCAAAUUGCCGCUGGGCUCACAAGUUGGCAACCAACCACUUUUUCUAAAAAGAACACCCUCCUGCGGAGGAUCAGCCUGCUGGUGUUUGUGAAAUGUUGUCGAACUAUGGCGAUCGAUGUGAAUAUGAUCAAUAGCCAACCGUCAAUGAAUGGCCGACAAUCACCGCCCUUUGGGCACACCGACUAAUAGAUCAAUGAAGCAUAAAGAAACACGAGUACCGACCAUUCAGGUCAACUAGGAUGGACAAGCUCAACACCCUCUCAAGUAUGCAAGUACGUACCAACCACUCAAAUCAACAAGAAAGUACGACGCCAACAAUGACAAGAGUAUAGGGAAACCGACCACUUUGGUCAACUAAGGUGUAUCCACCAGAACCGACCUCUCGGGUCAACAACAACAAUAGUAUAGGGGAACCGACCACUCUAGUCAAUUGAAAAGUGUGAGAUCAAUGACACUAUAAGUACACACGCACCGACCAUUCAGGUCAACAGGAAUAUGAAUGCAAGUGUCACUAUCGCUGUACUUCUAUAUCAUGGCAAACAGGAGAGUAUACAAAGUAGAGCAAGGGUCGAAGUCAUGUAGUGAAUAUCUCAAGCACUGAAUAUGUAUAUAUAUAAGCAGUAGAAGGUAAGGAUGAAGGGAACAUCACCGAACGUGCACCACUGAACCGACUUCAAAUCGAAGUACCCACUUGUGUCCGUUGCCGUGUAUAGCUCCGACAAGGUGAGGGGCCCCGACCAGACCUAUGACCGGUCCACUGAGUCAAGAUUUAAUCCACAUGACUCAAAACACAUCACACACGAACCCAAAACGGCCCGGGAAAAUAGUUUCCCAAAAUCAAUCCCCAAACUCGCCGGGAGUCCCGAAAACGCACCGAGAUGCCCCUGGGACCCACGAAACAUCCCUAAACGCAUUGACUCACACCGAGAGUCACCCACUAUUCCAAAACACACCUAUUUGGGUGUCCGGAUAGCAAACACAAGUCUCCAGGUCAACCCGGUCAUCAGCGACCGAUCGUUCACCAUCGGGCUUUCAGAAAUGUCCACUUUAGCACCGGAUGCGUCCACCACUCGUUUGUCGCCUCCGAACACAAAAGGCGACCCUCGGCGACCAGCCAACAAGGCUAGGAGAUGAUUUUCAGGGUGACCACACAGCUGGAAACUCAGCGCGAUGCAAAAUCGUGUUCUACCAGCGAUUUUGCCAAAAAACACAUCGAAACCCUUCCGCCACUCAUAAACAAACUCCGAACUUCACAGAUGGUGGUAGCAACAAGCCAACAGGGCUUGGUGGGGUAUCUAGGGCAUUUGAAUUCAACAAUUAGUCAAGAGGUCGCUAAUAGCGAUUACACACUGUCCGAGGCUGUGCGCAGGAUCCCCAUUGCAUACAAUUUGCAAUCAGCCCAACAUUGCAUUAAUUACAGUUCAAUUAAUACAUAAAUAUGAGUUUCGAGCUCGUUACACCGAUCCACGUCGCAAUGGAUCCGUCCAACCAGCUGAUUUGAUUCAUCUAGACACGAUGAAGCCUGUGCACGCUGUUCGAAGGGCGAUCGACAGCUGGACGGCUUCGAAACAGCAAAAAAACCCUCCAAAAGCAUGCUCCCGGAAGCCGCCAAGUCUCGCGUGCAUACCAGAGCAUCUCAUAUCAUAGCAAAGUUGAGCACGGGUCUCCGCAAGACCCUAGGAGUGAGAUACUCAUGCUUUGGUUGCUCGCCGAAGUCUCAUGUGGCCGAAAAGAGAAGCUCGGCCAAAACAGCCACUAUAAUCCACCUUGGCAGCAUCCAGCAGAGGCUAGGGCAUCAUGUGGGAGGCGGCCGGCAGCCCGCAACACGAUAAGGUGAGCCCCGGCCAGGAAAGGGUCGCCGCACCCAGGGGAGUCGACCGGGACCUCUGGCCGCAGGUAGGAGGCAGCGGUGGCGCGACGUGGCCUGGCGCGGUGCCAGCGAUCCCAAGCGAUGUGAGAUCCCAGGUGUUUGACUGUGGGGGCUUGUCGACAGCUCUGGAGAGUGUCGGGACAAGUCCGAGUCACGUUGGCGUCAAAUAGACGCAAAACGGACCCCGCGCGACGCGAGGGCAGCAUUCAGCGAGGGAAUUUGCAAAACAGUAGGGUUUUCUGCUUGUUGUACCGGUACAAGGGCUUGCUGUACCGGUACAACCAGCGCGGGGAUGCUUGCUGUACCGGUAGAAGCGUAUUCUGUACCGGUACAACAUAAGCGCACCGAACUUGGCUGCUCUCGGGUUGGCUCUUGUACCGGUACAGGAGCCCGUGUACCGGUACAAGGGAGUAGGUAGAGGGCUAAAUGGGUAAUUUCUCACCUCGUUUGUAUCUCCCACUCUCUCUCUCUCUAUUUUAAGUGGGAAUUGAGCAAAGAGAGAGAGAGAGCUUCUCACUACUCCUUCUUCUCCUCUCUCUCUAGGCCGGUUGUGAGGGAGCUCAGGUGGAGCCGGAGUGCGUCGACGCCGCGCCGCGGAGUCAUUCGAGCUUAUUUUCGACGUCGUGUUGCUGCGAGGAGGCCGGGCGAGUGCGGCUUUUCGCCAUCCUUAACGUCGUGCUGAUUCUUAGGUAAUUUUUUCAAGUGCUUUAUUAGUGGGCAUUUCUCCCAUUACGUAAUUCCAUCAAUUUCGAGCCCGAGUGCUACUGCUGCAGAUAUCUGUGUUGAUUGUCGGUGUUUUGGCUCGUACGCGACGUAGGAGCAUCGGAUUGUGGCGAAACUUGGUUCGCUGGAUUCGGGACUUCGAGAGGAAACUACAGAGUCCAAGAUUGCUGGAUUUGGAGAAGGUUAGCUGGGUCGAACCUCUGUUUUACUCCACUGCUGCGAAUCUGAACCUGAACUUGAGUUUUCUUGGAUUCUUUUGGUGUAAAUCAUGAAGGGAACUGGGAUUUGGACUUGAGCUGUGUACAUUGCCAUUCCAUCCUGGAUUUGGAACCUCGCGUCACCAGGAUUGCGAUUCCGAAAGUGAGGUUCGCAUCGUACUAGAAGGAUUUAGCUUAAGUGCUGAUUUUGAGAGAUUAAUCCAUGUUUAAUGCUGUUGUGGUUCAGAUUAUUGGAGAGUUACGAUUGCUGGUUGAGAGUGGGCUCGGCUGAAAUUAGGUGACUUCUUCGCUGCCAGGGAUUAGCUUUUGAGGUGGGUUUACAUCGGCUUUACUCCUAAGUUCAUAAUCGUCGACAUGUAUAGGUUUCGAUUUUGGUAUAGUUUGGCUAGCUCGAGUUCAUGGAUUAUAAUGGUUAGUAAAAUCUGAAUUUGGAGCAUGACUAGUAAUUAGUAAUUUAUAUACAUGUUGGACUUGGAUUUGACUUAGGAGAAAACCCCGAAGUGAUCGACACUGAUUACACUAUUGGAUUUAGCUCUAGGAGCCGUAUUGUUAUUGUAUCGUCGCAGGGUUAGUGCGAUGGAUACCCAGUGUAGGGUAGCUUAUAUUUACGCUCGUGCUGGUAUGCCGAGUGUAUUUUUACAGGGUCGUUGGGGCUGUUUCGGUCUCUUGGGCGCCGUUGGGGUCGACGGUGGGCCCGGUUCGCCUUUUUGGCACUUGUUUGUGCCAAAGGCACGUUACUUGUUGGUGGUUAGACUAGUUUGAGUCAGUUACUGGACCUUGGCUUCUCAGAGCCUGUGUGAGCUUGACCUUAGCCUUAUCGCCUUUCGGCGUCAGAUUGUGCUGAGGGCACGUUACUUGUUGGUUGUUAGACCAGUUAGAGUUGUUUACUUGACCUUAGCCUGUGAGGACAGUACAAACUUGACAGAGACAGUUGUAAACUCGGCUGGGUCGCGCCCCUGAAUGCCAUUCCGAAAUGAUGUUUCAGUGCGAUGUGUGUCGCAGUUUUUGUUGGGCCUUUUCUCUAACCGACUGCUCUUGAGAUAUGGUGUAGUCUAAUUAGACGAGACGGGUGUAUUCACAGUCUCUAGAGAGUUUUCUCCGCCGGUUGCUCUUAAGAUAUGGUGUAUAGUCUAAUUAGACGGGAUGGGUGUAUUCACAGUCCCUAAAGAGUCUUCUCCGCCAGUUACUCCUGGAGUAGGUUACGGGUUCGAUCCGACAGGUGGGACGGGUGUAUUCAUAGUCCCAGGGACGGGUAUGCUUACAGUCCUGAUUGGAUUGGGUCAAUUUUGACAUUUCCUACAGUUGGUUAGUGUAGAGCAUGCUAGUGUAGUGAUUGUUAGCGGUAGAGUUUACUUCCUGCUUUUUCUACUACUUGCUCCCUUCCGUAGACUUAGUGGGUAGACCGAUGUUGUUUUGGGCGGUACCCACUGAGGACUACUUGUUUUUACAGUAGUUCUCAUGCCCAGUUGUUACCACUGUUUUGCAGAGCCACAGGUUCCGGCUGCUGCGCUUCCCGCUGAUCAAGAUCGAGGUAAGGGCGUUGCAAGCUAGUGCCCUACCUGACGAGCAGAGCUAGAAGCACCCCUAUCUCAGGUAGUUGUUUUUCUUUCGAGCUUAUGUACAUAGUACUUAACUCGCCUGUGCGAGUAACGCUGUAUUUUGAAUUUUGAAAACUAUGUAUAUGAAGCUCAGUUUGUUUAGCUCUUGUCUACUCGAGCAGCUCUAUACUACUGUCUGUAAUAUUGUAUGUUUACAGGUACAGCUGUCGCUUCGUAUACAAGGAAAAUUUCUUUGUAUACGGCGGAUUUGUCGGCGUGCCCGGAAAACGAGUCAUCCGGGGCGUGACAAGCGAGCCCGCCGCUAAGGCAUAAUAGAUCGCCGGGAUAGCGGGUUGCGAUGGCGAGGGGGGACACCCGUGGACUCCCUGGGACCUCCGGCACCGCCCAGUGGCAGCGUGGCGCCGCGACGACGGUCCGGUUGCUCCCCACGGCCGUAGGUGCCCUGCAGAGCGCCCUCUCAGCUGCUGCGGUUCCCCGAUGCACGGCGGUGCUGAGAGCAGCUGAGGGAGGGUCGCCGAGGUCCGCGUGGUCGUUGGCGGUGGUCCCAGCAGCCGACGGCAUGACUAUAAGAGGGCUCAGGCUUCCCUCGCUUACAACACCACAAGAGAGAGAGAGGGAAGAAGAAGUUGUUUCUUCUUCUCCAGCGGUCGGCGGCGAUGGGGGCGGCAAUAGGACCCUCUCUCAAAGAUGGACAAGGGGAUGGGAGGAGGAUGGCCUAAGUUUGGGUUCUAAAAUCCUCAAAUCUACACCUAAACCCAAAUACCACUAUUCGUAGUGGAUAAUUGCUCCAAAGUCCUCCAACUCUCAAAAUUCACACUCUUGUCCCUCUCCAUCAUGUUUCUCUCGCAGAAAGGCCCCUUCCCGUAGGUUUUCACACAAAACGGAGGACAGAUCGCAUCUAAAAAGCAAAAACAACACGAGAUAAAGCCUUCCUAGCGAUAAAACCUAUUUUUCUUGAAAAUCGUGCGUCGAACAUAAAAUCCAUUAAUGCCAUUGGCUCCGGCACAGUCGAACCUUCGAAAAUGUGCUAUUGGAUUGUCCAGAACGGAGUUCGAUUCACGUCCGAAGCCCAUCUCUCUUCUUGGUCCUCGUGGGAAAAACGGGUUACUAUUCACUUUAAGUGAAAAGUAAUAAUCACGUAAAAACUUUAUUUCAAAUCAUUUUUCGCUGAAAUUUAUCUGGUAAUUUUAAAAUUAAAAUACAUACGAUAAUAUUUAAAAAAAUGUCAAACAUACAUAGAUAAAAUCUCAGUCCUUACAAAUAUAAUUGAAAUGCUAUUGAUGUGUGACUAAAGAAUUAUAUUUUUUCCGUCAAAACAAAUAAAGGCACAAAGCACUUCACUUUCGAAAGUAAAGUGUUAUCAAAUGAAGAAUAAAAGUGAGAGAAUCGAAUUUCCAACACCAAUAAACUUUAUCAAACUAAACAAAUAUUAAAAAUUUGAGCUCAAAAUAACCAAUCUUUAACUAAGUAGAUUUGAAUAGAUAUGUCAUAGACUUUGGGUUCAGCUGCAACUCCCUAACAAUGACGUCAAACCAAUGGUUUAAAAUGUUGAAUCUAAAAUAAUAAAGUGCCGUUUUUCAGUAACUUAAGCUUUUGAGUUGAUUCAAGCAUUGGACUAGUUUGAGAAUGCAGUGACCACGAACAUCCGUUUACAUGCUUUAGAGGAUUCAAAAAAAUUCAAAAAUGCUUCUAAAAUUUUCCCCUCUUAUGAUAUAAAGUUGCAAUGAGAUUGUUACUUCAGAAGUUUCAGCCAAAUGCUUCUGAUCAGCUGAUGGUUCCCAUAACUUUUGUGUAGCAUCAAAAGGGAAAGGCUUCAAAGCGAUUUUGAAUAACCAAAAGUCCUAAAUAUCAAAAAUAGAUGAAUUUAAUUAGCCACUAAAUCACCAAACUAGGUUUUAAAACACUACUAAAUUUUGAAUUUUGCAAUUUGUUGUGUACUUUGCACUAUGAACACUGCUCCUAAAAUUAGUUUGACUUUUCUUCCAAGUAGGACUUUUCAGACAUUUUUUAGGUAAUAAUGUAAUUAUACCAACGCAUGAUCAAACUCAGAAAACUAGUACUUCUAUGUAGGGGUGGAAACGAGCCGAGCUCAAGCGAGCUUAUGUCAGCUCAAAUUCGGCUUGAAAUUAAUUUCGAGCCUAAAUCUAGGCUCAAGCUCGGCUUGAAAUUAAUUCGAGCCGAGCUCGAGCGAGCCUAAUUUCGAGUCGAGCCGAGCUCGAGCUCUAAACGAGCCGAUUGAAAUUCUCGACAUUAUAUAAUCAAUAGUUUAAUUUUUAUAGAACAUUACAUAUAAUUUGAUGCAACAUGUUCAAUAGUUCAAAAUACAAAAUAAUUGUAAGAAAUGUGAGCUAGGAUGACUGUCUGACUGGGUGAGGGUCAGAGAGAGAGAGAGAGAGGGGGGGGAAAAAAAUUAGGGAUUUGAAAAUUUGAAUUUUAUCAUGUUUUAGGGUUAUGUGCAACAGUGAAAAUCUGAAAAAGAGAGUGUGUUAUGUAAUUUAGAGUUGGACUCAAUUGCACAGUUGUACUUAUUGGGUUUAUUUUAUAGGCCAACAAUAAUAGCCCAAAUUAAAUUAAAGCCUAUAUAUAAUUAAAAUAUUAUAUAUAUAUAUAUAUAUAUAUUUCGAGCUUUUCGAGCCUAAUUCGAACGAGCCGAGUAAUACUCAAGCUCGGCUUGAAAUGAAUUUCGAGCCUUUUAUUUUGUUCAAGCUCGGCUCAUUUAAUUUCGAGUCGAGCUCGAGCGAGCCGAAUAUCGAGCCGAACACGAGUCGAACGCGAGCCGGCUCGCUCGUUUGCCAGCCCUACUUCUAUGUUUAUUUCACAGGAUAUACUUUAUUUGGUGAAUCCAAGGGUGUUUGGCCUAGCUCGCUGUUCAUGAGCCAGCUCGUUGUUCACGAGCCAGCUCGUGUUCGGCUCGAAAUGAACUCGAAAUCGAAUCGCUCGUUUAAUAAAUGAGCCGAACACAAGCUGAAUUUUUCAGCUCGUUUAAUAAACGAGCCGAACACUAGCUAGAGUCAGCUCGCUCGUGUUCCGCUCGAUAAUAGCUCGAAUACAUAUAUUUUAUAUUCAUAUAAUUAUUUAAUUUAUAUUUAAUAUAUAUAAUAUAUAUAUUUAUUUAUUUAUAAAAAACUUAUUUAUAUGUAAAGUUUCAACCAUUAGAUCAAACUUUAAAAGGUAACAUUUUGUAAAUAUACUUUUUAUGUAUAUCCAAUCUAAUCUGUUUAACUUCUUGUUCGUUGGCCAGCUCGUAAGCCAACUAGUGUUCGGCUCGUUUAUUAACGAGCUGAACACGAGCUGAAUUUUUUGACUCGAUAUUUUAAUGAGCCAACUCAUUUUUGGCUCGAUAUCUAAACGAACAGUACACGAGCCGGCCCCAACUCACUUGUGUUCGGCUCAUUGACACCCCUAGUUUGGCCUACAUUUUGGAAAAAUGAUUUCUAUAUAAUUAAUUUUUAGUUUGAAAAAUUAAUGUUGGUUAAAAAUUAUAGAGUGUUUGGCUGAGUCUAGCGAAAAAGUAAUUUUUCUGAAGUAAAUUUACAAAGCUGUUUAACAAAUUUUUUUCUAUUUGCAAAUAAUGAAUUUCAAUUUAAGAUUUUGAAUUUAAAAUCUUAAAUAGAAUUUUAAUUUUGAUAUUUGAAUUUAAAAUCUAAAUUUAAAAAUUUAAAUUAAAUAAUAAAUAUUUAGAAUUUUUAUUUUGAAAUUAAAAUUAAAAAUUUGAAAGUUAAAUUUAAAAUUUAAAAUCUAAAUUUUAAAAUUAAAAAUUUAAAAAUUUAAAUUAAAUAAUAAAUAUUUAGAAUUUUUAUUUUGAAAUUAAAAUUAAAAAUUUGAAAGUUAAAUUUAAAAUUUAGAACUUAAAAUCUACAUUUAAAUGGCGGAGUUGGAUCUUGAUUCUAGAAUAUAAAUCGGGACGAAGCUAGGAAUUAAGAUUCAAGGAGGCCAAGUUUUAGAUUUGGCAUAAAACAAAAAAUUUGACCUUAGAAUCUCGAAUAGUUAGGAAAAGAAUCUGCCGACUUCAACGAUCAUCUAUUGCCAGCGACGGCAGCGGCGAUGUGCCCGGGGACUCCGGGGAAGAUUGGGAGCACAAGUUUUGCGAAAAAAAAAAUUCAAUUUGGCUCCCAUAAAAUCUAAAAUUUAUAAUAUUUUGAUUUUUUUACUCUGGCUAGUUAGUAAAGGACUUACAUGUAAAUUUCGGAAUUUGGUGGGUUUUGUGGCCACUUUGAGCCUCACAAUGGCUCCUCCCUGGUAAACUACUGUUUAGUUCCCCAGAAAAAUAUGAAAAAAAAUUUACACAAAAAUAUUUUAUGGAAAUUCUUUUCGAAUUUACCAUCCAUUUUGUUUGAAGAAAAAUUAGCUUUUUAGAAAAGCUUCUUUCCAAAUUUCAUGAAAUUUUUUUUUUUGGUUUUUUCAAAAAACAUUCAAAAAAAUAAAUAUACUAAUUUGCUAUAAAAUUUGGAAAAAAGCUUUUCAAAAGACCUAUUUUUUUAAUCCAAACGGACGAAAAAUUGAGAAAGAAUUUUUUAUAUUAAUAUUAAAAUUAGCCGGAUUCAGAAAAUUAAGACGCACAAAAAUAUUUUCUAUGCCAUAUAUAAGAUAGAGGUUAAAAAAUUUAUAUUAAUCUCUCGGUAGCGCAGGGACGGAGCUAUAGUCAGGCUCACAGUAGCCAUGGCCCUCCUUAUCUUUUAAAAAUUAUAUAUAAGUCCUUUAUAGUAAAAAUUAAAAAAUUAUAAAUUUUAGUUUUAGACGGGGCCAAAUUAUUUUUUUUUUUAAAUAAAACUUGUGCCCCAAUCUUUUUCCGAACUCCUCGACCCUUUUCCUUCAGCUCUUAUAGUCUUGUUUCUGCUUGAGCAUAUUGUCGCUGCUGUCGCUAGUAAUAGAUGAUCAGUGAAUCUGACAAACUCUUAUUUUUGUCAUCCGAGGUUGAAUUUUUUUCUACAAAACCUAAAUCUUGGCACCUCCCCGACCUUUAAUUCCUAGCUUCGUCCCUGCGGUAGUGCAUAAAGUAAUUAAGUUUUGAAUUCAAAAUUUUGAAUUCAAAAUUCUUGUAAUCAAAAUGAAAAUAUCAAAUCGUAGAGACACUUCAUAUAUCGUUUUAAAAUAACAAAUUUAAAAUUGAAAAUAAAAAUUUUGCUUUACUGCUUAAUAAUUUGGGGGAGGAAAUUUGGGCUAGCAAUCAACAUAGUCUUAUCCAACCUUCCUUAAUUAAAUUAUUUCUGAAGAUAAUUAGCUUUUAAAUUUGUUAUAAAUUUUUAUACAAUUAAUUAGUUUUCCUAAAAUCAAUUUAUUAUUUUUUUAAAAAAUAAAAUUUUAAAAAUUUCUGUGCGCAACGCACGAGUUAGAGACUAGUUUAUUUUGAAAUUAAUUGAUCCAAUAUUGCAAAUCAAAGAAUCCCAAACUCUACUUCUUUAAUAUGCUUUAAAAUGCGUUCUUUUCUAAAGUGGCAAGUAAAGAAUGAUACUUAUGUAGAUAGACCUUCAACUUUCGCCCACCAGCAUGCUAAAUUGUUAACAUGUGACAAUCUUAUUUAAGGCAGUAAUAUUAUUUGCAUAAAAGGUUGAAACUAAAAAAUAAAUUUGGUAUGCAAUCAGUAAAUCUAUUUGUAGCUGCAAAUAUCUUUAAUUUAAUUUGUUGGAGUGGUGAACUUCUACAAUGGGAUGCAUGCUUGUUGCUUCAAUGGAAUGCACAAUUUUGAGGUAAAAGUGAGCAUUACUAGUAUUGUAGCUUAUGUAAUUGUAAUGAAAAAGAGUUAAAAAUAGGAAGAAUUAGUGCACCUUGCGCAUGUGCAUUGGUACAGGAAGAUUCCUUAGUAGAGGUAUAUACAUGUACUAAUUAAUCAACUUAAGGAUAAAGAAGCAAAGAAUUUCGAGCCGUACACCUUUAAUUAAUUUGCUUUAGAAUUGAUUCCCUCUUAAAGUGGCAAGUAAAGGAUCAAAGUUUCGUAGCUUAAAUUUCUGAUUUCACGGAGAGGCAAACCAAAUGAUUGACUCCUGGGGUCUGUUUGUUUCACCAAAAGUAGAGAGAAAUGAAUUUAUUUUUACCAUAAAUAUUCACUUCUAUUGUUUGGUUUUUCAUAACUCCACCUUCAGUGAAACAUAAUUUUUUUUCAAAAUACCGUAAUUAACUUGACCUAUUUUGGGGCAAAAUCAAUUACGAAAAACAAAAGUGAGAAAAAAAAUAAUAAAACAUUAACGAAGGGAAACUUUAGCUUUUAUGUUAUUAACUUUCUACCAAACACACAACAGAACUCGAAAAAAAAAUAAUUAUAAGAAUAAAUUGUAUGUAAUUAGUAUGUCUAUCUAUAUAUAAACCAAGAGCUUUCAACCCACUAUCUUUAUUUUUCUUUACAAUGGAUUCUUUCCAAAAUUAGCAAGUAAAAAAUUAUGCUUUUGUUGCCAAAACUUCUAGUCGAUUCGACAAUCGGAAUUAUUAACAUGUAGCAAUCUCAUUCAAGACAAUUAUAAAUUUGUUUAUGUUUAAAAAAGUUUAAGCUACAGGGAAAAGAGUUAUAUAAACAUAUAAAAGAAAUUUGGGCUAGCAAUCAACCUAUCUAUCUAUAGCUACAUCUAAUAUAUAAUUUUGUUCAACCUUAAUUAUCUCUGAAAAUAAUUAGGUUUUAAACUUAUUUAAAUUUUUAUAAGACAAAUAAGUUUUCUCAAACUUAAUUUACUAUUUUUUUAAAAAAUAAAAUUUUAAAAAUAUCCAUGUGCAAUGCAUAGGUUAAAAACCAAUUUAUUUUGAAAUUAAUUAGUCAAAUAUUAUAUAAAUUAAAGAAUCUCUAAUUCUACAUCUUUAGUUUGCUUUAAAAUAGAUUCUUCUCUAAAGUGGCAAGUAAAGAAUGAUACUUCUGUAGGCAAAUUAAGCCUCUACUUCCAUCCGCUAGCAUGCGAAACUUGCUAAUAUAUAACAGUGUUAUUUGAGGCAAUGAUAUAAUUUGUCUAAAGAGUUAAAAACAGGAAAUAAAUUUAAUUGGUAUGGAAUUACUAAAUCUAUCUCUAGAUGCAUCUCUAGUUUGCUUGCUCUAGAAUUUGUUCCUUCCCAACAUAACAAGUAAAGAAUCAGAUUUAUUAUAUUUUUCAUAUAAAUACAAUCCAUUCUAACUGUUCCUUUAACAAGUUGGAAGUCUUUAGAACUCUCUUAUAUGGCAAGAAAGAUCUAUACUAUGGAUUUGCCGUCACCGGACUGAGUGAAUGAGCGCAUGAAGGAAUGCUUUCAAAAGCGGUAAAAAGAUACCAUAUUUGAUACUCACCUAGAUGGACAACCAGCCAUUUGAAUUCGUCUGGUGUUCUUCCUCCUUAACGCACAAAUAGGCAUUUGGUCAUUCGGGUUCUAUCUGGUGCUCUUUUUUCUAAACGCACAAAUAGACAUUUAGUCAUUCGGGUACGUACAUAUUUAAUUUCUUACAUUAUUUUUAUUACUUAUUUUUUUAUUUCUGAUUCGUUAUUUUUUUUCAUUUUGUCAUUGGUUAUUGUAAUUGAGGUUUAAGGAUCCUUUUUAUUCAAUAGUGAUUAAGCCCCUUAAAUAACACAAAAAAAACCCCUAAUUAUACAAGGUAACUAUUCAAAUAUUAAAUCAAGCUUAGAAGGAUGGAAAUAACAUUCUAAUAUGAUAUGUAAUUAAGAAAAUUUGUUAUGACUAUAUGCAUGCCUGAACACAUAUUAUAUAUAAUACUAGUUUAGAAACCCGCACGAUGCGGCGGAUAGAAAUUAUAAUAAAAAUUUACAAAUUAAAUACAAUAAAUAAAAAAAUGAUUGGUUAGUAAUAUAAAAAAUAUAAUAAAAGAAAUUAGAAUGAGAAUAUAAUUCAGUGGAGAACAAAAAAAGAAAACGAAAAGAAAGAACUAUAGGAGAAUAAAAAUUGUUGUAUAGAUAGAAAUUAAAAAAAAUAAUUUAAUGCAAGAAUAAAAGAGAAAGAAAAAAAAUCUAGAGCUGAUUUCAUUAAGAUUGAUUUCGUUAUACGAUGAAUUAUAAUGGGCUUCGGUUUUCUUUUUUCUGCAUGAAAACCAAUUUUUUUUUAAAAAAAAACAGCAAUUAGUAAAAAAUAAUAUUUUUUAAAUUCAUUGAAAUAUAAAAUCCCAUAUGAAAAAAGCCUUCAAAUUUAUAGCUCUUUAAUUCAUCGUCACAUGCUUUUUCUCUACACUAAAUCAAAUGAAAAUUAUAAAAAUAAGUAUUUAAAAAUUAUUAAUAUUAAUUUGAAACUGUAAAUGCUAUUUUAAUACUCAAAGAUAAUGCAUCGAACAGCUGACGUGCGUGGUAAACAAUCCCGAUAUCGCAAUAUCCAAACAAAUGAUAGCUUUACAGAUUUCUUCCUAAAUCCAAAAAAAUGAAUCUCAUAUUAGAAGGAUUUGAUUAAAAAGAAAAAAAAAAUCAUAGGAAGAUAAAGAGAGGAUUUUAAAAUGUUGAUGAUAAAGGAGUCGAAUUGGACGUCAAAGACGACAAAGGAGGGGGUUUGAGAAGAGGUUGGGAAGCAAGCGCUGCAAUCACAACCCACAGAGAGGAGGCCGUUGCGAGGGGCAACGUAAAGGAUCAUAGCGAAGCUUCUUGGCAUAGCAGCGAAUACUCUAGCAACCUAUACCACGUCCACCAAAAAUUACACUAUCACCAACUCCUCCGUUAAUAGGGAGAGAGAGAGAGAGGAUGAAGAAGAAGAAGAAAACGAAAAGUCUAAUGUAGAAAUCUACACUAUAAUGCUAUGAAGCUUUUGAAAAAGUAUAAUGUUAUGUAGAAAUCUAUACUUUCAAAUUCAGAGUGUACGUUUUGAAAAAGUAUAAAGAUUUUAAAAAAGUAUGAAAGGUUGGGAUAUGAUAGGGUGUAUGUUUUGAAAGUAUAAAGGGCAGAGAGAUGAGAGGGUGUACAUUUUGAAAAGUAUAAAGGGUGAAGAGAUGAAAGAGUGUACGUUUUAAAAAAGUAUGAAGGGUGGGGAGAUAAGAGAGUAUACGUUUUGAAAAAAUAUGAAAGAAUGUGAAGAGGUGUACGUUUUGGAAAAAUAUGAGAGUAUGUGAAGAGAUGAGGAAAGUGUAUGGUGAGGGAAUAGAAAGGAUGAGCUCAUAACCCAAACAACUCAAGUGAAGGAAAUAUCGCCACUUGCACAUUUUAUUGGGAAUUAAUAUAAUAGUAUAGAAGUAUAGAUAUAAAGUUGAGCUAGAAUACUAUCGAUAGCAAACGGGCUCUGUUGUCAUCCAUUUGUUUUAGAUGAUAUAGCCUCCAAAUCGACGAUCGGCACCGUUGAACAUGAUCUAUACCACUUGAAGUGUUUAGAAAUCAAAUUUCAAAUCUUUUCGACAUCAUUUGCCUAAUGAUCAAAGGGUUUCAAAAAUUGUAAUUUUAAUGGUCGAUAUGAGGCGUUUUCUCGUUUAACAGCGUAAAGAUAUCCAAAUUAAUUGAAUUUUUUUAGAAAAUUUUUUAAACUAUUUAAAACAAAAUCUAUACUCUUGAUCUUGAUUACAAGACUCCUAUCAUCAUUUUUUAAAGAAUAUUCAUUUUCAGCCGUUCAUUUUUGUGCCCACUCGAUGGAUAAGAGAACAAUAUCGAAAAUGUAUGAAAUUUGAUUUCUAAAUACUUCAAGUAGUAUAGAUCAUGUUCAACGGUGCCGAUCGUCGAUUUGAAAGCUCCAUUAUUGAAAAUAAAUGGGUGGCAAUAAAGCCUGUUUGCUAUCGAUAGUAUUCUAGCUCAACUCAUAAUAUAUAUAUAUAUAUAGGAUUUGAAAUGGAGUCAAUAUU
rnacentral:lncRNA from 1 species